AGCGGAAGCAUAAGCCAUGAUGCUAGUUUCUUGUUCAAAUUUUUCCAUGUCCUCCUUAAACAUUACCACCAAUGCUUCUAUUCCUUCACCGUCACUUGCGCUUGUUAAAAUAGCAAGAUCAGGUAACAAUAUGGGCCCGAGACUAAACCAAACAGGCUUCCCCCAACCAAAAUCAACUUCAUCACAAGGCAAUCCAACCAUACUAGUCAAAAGAAAUGACCUUGAAUCUUCCCCUACUUGGUACAUAUCCUUAAUGAAACCAAAAUACUCAUCAUUAUUCAUCACAUCUCUUCCCAUUCUCUUGGCUUUUACCACUUCUCUUACUAAAUUUGUUACCUGUAUGGCAUCAUCCUCGGCUAGUGACCAUUCUGCCCUUACAAGCCGAGUAAUGUUGCCCAUGCACCGUGGAAACAUUGGUGGAUUCAUCUUGUUACGCAAAUUCAUAGCAUAAUACAUUGAAUGAGAGUGCAACUUGUUAUCAAUUGCCCUCUUUCUUUCACGCGCUACAGCGAUGGAGGCACCCCAAAUGAGUGCUGAAACAACCCCGAAACGUGUUGCUUGUAACACGUCAUCGUCAGAAUUGUUAUCAGCCAUUAAUUCUUUAUUCACCUUCUCCUUUAGAGUUGCUAUCUUCUUGCCAUCGAACAACAAUCUUUUGAACACAAUCUUGCGUGAAGAUUGUGGGCUUGGGAUCUGAUACUGCUGUGGGAACUUUACUGGCGGAAACAGAGAGGUGCAAUCUAAAACGAUAUUGUUAUUGAACAUAUUAUCAUUAUCAUUAAUCACCCCACGAGCGAUUUCACCCCAGGUUUUCAUGAAGUUAAAGAUUGCCGAACCGUCGGCCACUCCAUGAGAAAAACAAACACCAAUUGCCAUUUCACCGCUGUUGAACAAAUUUACUUGGACAGCCAAAAGUUCUCUUUCAGAAAUCUCUAAAUUCGAUAAUUGGGGACUAGGUGGGAUUAAUUGUUGUAGCAGCUCCAUAUCUGGUGGUUGAAGAAACUUUGAUAUAUCACAGCCAACAUUUGCUUCAAUAAAUGCAGCCCCACGAUCAUUACAGUCGACUGAAAAGCCAUCAAUGAAUCUUCCAGCAAAAGGGUAGUAGUGGGUUAAUGCUUUUGCGAGAGAUUGCUUCAAUAAAUCGGAUUUUUUUCUGAAAUCUUGGUUCUUGCAACUGGUCGAGUAGAAGAAAACUAGGGGAAUGUAAACAUCAGUAUUCAUUUGAUCAAUCCAUGAAAGUUUAUAGGUUCUAAGAUGUUUUCGCGUUGGAAGUGAAGGUUUGACUCUUUUGGUGGAAAUUAUCUGAACUUCAGAAGUGGCACUUUUGAUACUUCUUUUUGUGAAGAUCGGGAUAUCAUUGGGGAUUAAUUUGGAAGCAAUUAUUGGGAAAUUGUUUUUGAGAGUCACUGCCAUCUUUUGCUGGCUUUGAGAAAUUAUUCACCAAAGUGAGUGUUGAGUGGCAUAUAGUGUGCAGCCAAAUUCAUCAUAUUUAUAAGUGUCUUGCAUAAUUGCUUCUUGAAAGAUCGGAUCUCCAAAAUAAUAAAGAAAAUCAAAGCGAAUCCCUUAGAAAAUAUACAAAGUCAACAAAUGGAGGUGAUUUCAACGAUAGGCAAUAUUAAAAAAAUUUCUCACUCUCCGGGUCAAUAGAUCAGAUUGAGAUAUAUCAAAUUCUACUAAUUCUUGUUACUUGUUAUAUAAGAACAUGUAUUUAAUAUAUAGAAAGAAGGGAAACUAAUGAGUAAAAUAAAAUUUGUACAACACUUAAAUAUUUUAUGAAAGUAACAUAAAUAUUUUAGAUUUGCCCAUAAAUAUGCUAGUUACUAUUUUAUUUUAAUGUCACUAGAAUAUUAACUAGCAAGAAGUAACUGUUUGUAUCUCAGAAGGAAUAAGUCGAAUUGGUUUGUCCCCUUAUAGUGAAAACAAGAGGUCACAUGAUCAUUUCCCUCUCCCACCAACCCUGGGAAAUAAAAUUAUUUAAUUGAUGCUUCAUUUAUAGGAUGGAAUAUGAAAUUAACUUUUGAUACUUUUGUUGAAAUUGGAAUUAUACACACAGACAUAAAUAUAUAUAUGAUGUGCUAGGUGAUUAGUGUGAUUGUGUAUUUGGACGGGUGUGUGUGUGCACGCGCUUGCGUGCAUGCGUGAAACAACCCGACCCAAACCCUCAGGGUAAGUCUAUCUAAUCGCAUCAAAACUGAAUAGAUAAUAAUCUAAUUAGUAAGAAUUCUUCUGAAAAUUCCGCAAAAUUUCCUUUAUAAAUAUAACACUCUCAAUAUGCAACUAUGCAGAACAAGCACUCCUAAAAUAAUUCAAUAUACAACCAACUCCAAUGAUUAUUGAUAACUCUAUAAAAUGAGAGUUAUCAUGGUACUUUUAAACUUAAAUCAUUAUUACAUAGAGAGUAAAUGACAUGUUUUGAUUGCAUUUUAGUUUUAUUUGGCAUGAAUAUCCAUUUUAGUUUAUUUUUAAUAAAUUGCGUUGUUUUAGAAUAAUUUUAUGUGCUUAGAUUGUGUGCAUAAUUGUAAGAAAAGAACUUGUCUACAGAAGAAUUGAAAUAAAUCUAGAACAGUGUAGUUGUUGUAGCCGUUGUUGUAGCAUCCGUUGCUGUAGCAUCCAUUGCUGUAACAAUCCUGGAACAACGACAUGGAAGAUUUCGUGCGAGAUACUUAGAAGAUUGCAAUCUGGAGUUUUCAUAAUCUAGAAGAUACGUGCCCUAGACUUCCGUUUACCCUAAUUUUCAUCUAUAAAAGAAGCACAAACGCAAAGGAAAAAGAAUGUCGUGAAUCAAAAACAAAAACCGAAAGAAACAAGAGCAAAACAUGAUUCAAGAGCAAGAUUUAAGGUGGCAUCAAAAGAGAAUUUGCAGAAAUCAAUCGGGAACUCAAUCAUUUUUAUUAUUUUCUUGUUUACUUUUUAGUCAUGAGGAUGUGUUUGAUGGCUAAAACUUUGUUCUUUAUUUUUCUUUUGUAAACCAUGAACUAAAUUUAUUUGUGGUUGAGUGAUAAACAAUCUUGGUGGUUUAUUGACUGAAUAUAUGUGUUGUUGUAUGUUUGCUAUAGCAUUUUAUCUUGAUAGUAUUUAUUUCUAUUUAUUAUUUUGGCUGAUCACCCAUUUAAUGAUACUAGCUAAAAAAGAGCCACAAAAAAGCCUAUCUUAGUGGAACAUAUCAGAGUAAUACUUGGUUUUAGAUUGAGUUUCCUGAUAUGAGUUUUACUUAAUUCCAAAAGAACCAUACUUAAUCUAAAAUUAGUGAUGAACUAGACAUAUGGAUUCACCUUGUAGGGUAAUUAGAACCUAAGCGUGUAAUGCUAUAUCUUAUGUUGGCAUAACAACUGAUCACUGUUAGGUUGCAUAUAGAUAUAAAAUAUCUAAUAUGCAACAACUGAGGAUAUAUAAGGAUUCUGCCUAGUGCUGUAGCAGCCAAGCCAAACAUUAGAAAAAUAGUCAAAACCAUUAAGUGAGUUUAAUCACUCAACUACUCAUUUCUUAUUGAUUGCAUUUUCGUGUUUGAUUUAAUAUUUUCUUUAUUGCAUUUUUAAUUUAGUUAGUUUGUUAGUUUCUUUAAUUAUUUUAUUUUAAUUUAAUCUAAACUGCACUAUUAGAAUUGCUGUAGCAAAUCUGAUAACAUCAAUCCCUGUGGAGACGAUCUUGAAUACUCAUAAUUCUAUUACAUGUUGUGUACACUUGCACAUUGACACCCAUAGCAUUUGAAUUAAAUACAAUAAGUUUUUGGCGCCAUUGUCGGGGAUUGAUUGUUCAUUGUGAUUUGUGAAAUUAGUUUUAACGAUGCUAAUUUUUAAUUAUAUUUUAAUUUGUUUACUUUAUUGACAUAAGUGAUCUAACAACCCUUGUAUGCGCAAAUAUAAAUUUGUUGAAUUUCAGUUCGAUCUAGAAAUUAAAAGAACUGCAAGGAGAUUGAGAAGAGAGCAUCGGGAAUUAUAAAUUGCUGUAGCAAUGGAUGAUUUGUAAGAUAUAAGAAACUUGAACCCUAGAAGGGAGUUACAACUAGUAAAUGUACAUGAAGGUUUGAAUGGACAACAUGUUCAAAGGCAACCAGGGAACAACAACAUUAUUCAUAUGACGAACGAUAGAGAUAGAGCCAUUCGAGACUAUGCAGUGUUGACUCCUCAAGUCAUACAUUCGAGAAUAGUUAGACCCGACUUUCCCGCUGACAAUUUUGAGCUCAAACCAUUGAUAUUUCAAAAGCUGCAAACAGUGAGGCAAUUUAAUGGACUGCCUUAAGAAGAUCCUCAUCUACAUUUUAAGUUAUUUUUGGAAGUGAAUGAUGUUUUUAAGAUUGCUGGAGCAUCACAGGAAGCAUUACGACUCAGACUUUUCCCGUUUUCUUUAAAAAUCGAGCAAGAGUAUGGUUGAAUUCUUUACCACUUGAUUCCAUCAAUGACUUGACUGAUAAAUUUUUGAUGAAAUACCUCCCGCCAACCAAGAAUGCAAAAUUGAGGAACGAGAUCACAUCUUUCCAUCAACUUGAAGAUGAGAGUUUGUAUGAUGCAUGAGAAAAAUUUAAGGAGUUACUUAGGAGAUGUCCUCAUCAUGGUAUUCCUUACUGCAUACGGUUGGAAAAAUUCUAUAAUGGUCUCAACUCAAGCACUAAAUUGAUGGUGGACGCUUCAGUAAAUGGAGCCUUGUUAUCUAAGUAUUACAAUGAGGCUUAUGAAAUUUUGGAGAGGAUAACCAACAAUAUCUAUCAAUGGCCAUUAACUAGACAAGCUGUAGCAAGAGGAAUAGCAAGAGUCCAUAACGUAGUUGCCUUAACAAUACUGUCAACCCAAAUAACCUCAUUAACAAAUAUGGUGAAAGUUAUGACCACUGCUCCAGCAACCGUAAACCAAGUUGCUGCAGUAUCAUAUUUUUAUUGUGGAGAAAGGCACUUAUUUGGCAAUUGUCCUGGAAAUCCAGCGUCAAUUAACUAUGUGGGCAACUUCAAUAGACAGAACAAUUAUCAUUCUCAACCAAAAUAUGGAAUUUUUACCUAAGAUAUCUCUAGGGUAUGAAAAAAUUAUAUUAUAACUAAUAUUAACAUAUAUUAGUUUAUUCUUAAUUCUAAAAGAAUAAUACAACAAAAUUAUACAAUAAAAAAAAUGAGAUGAUUAGGACAUCGUAACAAAAAUCAUCUAUAUCUUCUAACACCAUCACAUGACCGAGAUUCAAAAUAUAUCUACACUCGUUGGGUCGAUUCGGUGUACCUGUAACUUCAUGUUGGGGGGGAAUAUAAUAAAACAGAAUCAGUAUAAAACUCAAUGAGCUCAGUGAGUGGGUAGUAAUUUUUGAAAACACAUUUUUACUUUAAAAGAAAUAAUCACAUCAUUUCCAUACAUGUUUUCAUCAAACCAUAUGCGAGAAACCACUAGUAAAUCAUUUAAUAUUUAAAUCAUAUCACUAACCUUGAAGAGCAUAUUUAAUAUCGUACAUAAUAACCAUGAAAAAUCAUAUUACAAUAUCAUGUAAAAUACAUAAAUCUGAAAUCAUCAUUAAACAAGUGCCCAAGGGAAUAAUCUCGUCGUAUUCGGACCUCAACGUACGGGCAACGACGUACUAUCUAGGUACUGUCAUUCCCUAGAGCUACGUGUAUAGACAGGGAAGUGCCAUCUUAUAUCUCAUCGUAUCUGUACAUGCACAAUCUAGUCCCAAAAGGACAAAAACACCCAAUCACACGGCCCAAAGCCUCUAUGUGUACUCAGAUGGGCCCUAAAGGCUUAUAUCUCAUCUGUAUCAUCUGUAUCUGUAUCACUGUUAUCAUCAUAUCAUAUGCAUAUGCCCCCAAAGGUAGAAGCACUCAAACACACGGCGCAAAGCCUUUAUGUGUGUUUAGACGAGCCCUAAAGGCCUAAUCAUAUAUGUAUCACUAUAACCGGAGAAAGGGUAUUGUCCAAUGAUUUGGUAAACAACCUUUUAUACACAUAUACAUAAACAUAUAAUCACAUCUGAAAUCUCAUUUCUUUUUUUUUUAAAUAUGAUCAUGCAUAUAUUCAAAAUCGAUAAUAAAAUCAUUAAUCAUACACAUCUUUAAUAAUAAACACCAAUACACAGAUUAAUCAAUUUAUAGAAAAAUCAUUAAAUCAGAGCCUUUAAAACUUAUCUCGUAAACGUGCCUUACCAUAUUUUAAAAUCAUAAUAAACUAUAAAGAAAAUAUGUUUUGUAUAUUCCACUUACAGUGACGAUGUUCAGACUCGGUUAUCGUCCACGUUCGCUGAUUGAUUCUCGCUCACGGAUGCUCUUAAAUCAAGGAAACGACAUAAUUAAUUUUGGUAAUUCAAAAUUACAUAUGAAUUUAUGCAAUAAACUCGAAAUGAACAUCUAUCCAUAAUAUACAACUCCCAUGUCGAUAAAAUUAUUAAAAUACCCUUCAAUCCGUACAUCAUUAAAAUAAUCUGAAAUAAAAAAUCACCGAAUUACCCUCGGAAUCGUAAUUACAACCAAUCCUCAAUUUUAGAAAUUACUAAAAUCUUUACAGGGUCAAAAAUUACAAAUUGCCUUCAAAUUAUGAAAUUAUCGAAUUGCCCUCGCCGGUCAACGGUAACCAGAAGUUCAGGUUAGACACUUCUGGCCGAGCCGAGUUCAAUUGUAUUGACGGUGAGCUCGCACGUGCCGUGACGGUGCCAGAAUCUAGCUCGACAACUGUGUAACUCUAAUUGCUAAACCACGGUAAAUCGACAGCUUUCGGUAAUUGUGGAUGGUCGGAAAAUCAAAAAGGAGUUAUGGGGAACAAAACCUAGCUGGUGGUGUCACCCCAAACUGGUAGAAUCGACGUCGAGAUGGGGUGAGUUUUACUGUCGCUUAUUGAGCUAAAACAUCGACGUUCUGGCCGUUAAUCGGUGACUGUGAUGGCUGGGAUACAACUAUUGGUCUUUAAGCUUUAGAUUGGUAUUAAGCUUGGCAGGUGGGGUGGUCGAAAUCACGAGAUUUGACCGGGUCACUUUCAAGGGUGGGGUCAGGUUUUGGGUCAUUUUACAACUUUUCUCACUCUCUCAUAUGUGUGUAUGUGUUCCCCUGUUUCAAGCUUCUUCUUUUAUUUUUAUUUACCUUUUAACCGCCUCAUUUGUUUUUCAACAUAUGUUACAAUCCUCCCUACUUAUAAAAAUUUCAUCCUCGAAAUUUACGUACUUGAUAAAAAAAGAUAGGGAUACUGAGCUUGCAUUAAGUCCUUGCGGUCCCAGGUAGCCUCUUCCUUUGUGUAAUUCCUCCAUAAUACUUUUACUAGCGGAAGGGUCUUAGAGCGUAGAACUUGGUGUUUCCCUUCCAGUAUUUUCACUGGUUCUUCUUCGUAAGUCAAGUCUUCUUUCAAGUGAAUAUGUUGCUUCGAUAACACAUGCUUGGGUCAUAUAUGUACUUUCAGAGCAUUGAAACAUGAAACACAUCAUGGACUAUGGAUAACUCGGGCAGUAGAGCUAAUCGAUAAGGUAACAGACCAAUGCACUCUAAGAUCUCAUAUGGCCCAAUGUAACGUGGGCUUAGCUUCCCCCGCUUCCCAAAUCGAAGUACCCCUUUCCAAGGAGAUAUCCGUAUGAAAACUCUAUCCCUAACUUCGAAUUCAAGUUCCCAUCUACGCUUGUUUAUAUAACUCUUCUGUUUAUCUGCAUCAUUAUCAACAACAACAACUUUCUCCGCAAAGGAGGGAUUAGAUUCAUCAAACGUAACAUGUAUAGAUUCUUCCACAACUAAAGUUCUUUUGUUAUAAACUCCAUAAGCUUUGCUUGAGUUUAAAUACCCAAGAAAGGUGCCAACAUCGGAUUUUAGAUUAAAUUUGCCAAGAUUAUCCUUAGUGUUUUGCAUAAAAAAACUUUGAAACAACCAAUGAUGGGUUUUCUAUCUUUCUAAAGCUCAUAUGGAGUUUUAUUGAGAUGAGGUCUAAUCAAUACACGAUUUAAAAACUUUGAAAAUUGAUGCACAAUGCCUAAAUUGUUGCAAAAGGUUUCAAAGGCAUGAUUUUCAAACUCUCAUUCGUGAUCACUUCUAAUGCAUGCAAUACCAUAUCCUUUUUCAUUUUGAACUUUUUUACAAAACACUUUAAAAACAUCAAAAGUAUCAUCCUUAUUAGCUAAGAAUAAUAUCCAUGUAUAUCUUGAAAAAUCAUCAACAAUUACAAAAUCAUAAUACUUCACACUCAAGCUAGCAUACCUUGAAGGUCCAAAUAAGUCUAUGUGAAGUAGUUCAAGAGGUUUUGAAGUAGAAAUAUGAUUUUUGCUUUUAAAAGAUGUUUUGAUUUGUUUACCAAAUUGAGAAAACGACGUCGUUUUAAGAAUCAAUUUUUGUUAAGAUAGAUGAGCUACUUUCUUCACGCAAUGAUGCCGUUUUGAGGACCAAUUUUUGGCUUUAACUUCAUCCAAUAGGAUAGAAGCAAAGAAAACAUGAAUAAGGCAAGACAGAAACUUGAUACUUUAAUUCAAUAAACAAAAACAAUAAAAAUUAAAAAAAAUUAAUUUUGUGUCUUUUAGUUCCAAGAAUGAAGUUCAUCACCAACAGUACAGACUCUUCUUCUCAAGCACUUGAAUUAGUCAAAUGUCUUUGGGAAGAAAUAUCAGAAAGCACACACGAGGACGUCUUGAAACUUAUCAGCAACCCUUCAAAUUUAUUAUUCGAUGCAGCUCACUCGAGGAAUUUCAAAUUCUUGGUUGUGCUCAUUCGCUCUUAUCCUGAUUUGGUUAAUGAAUUAGAUGAAGAAAGUCGAAGCAUUGCAGUCAUGCACCGUCAUGCAGAGACUUUCAAACUAAUAUAUUUGUCAUUAAGAUUUUAUUUGUCAAAAAUCUUAGCCAGCACAGCACCGUUGCAGCGACGAUGGCGACAACAAUGAGUUUCUUGUUGAGACUCCUCUGCAUACCCACAACCUCCACAAUCCUCUCAAAAUGCCAACUCCGUAAACCCCACCUCAAAAUGCAUACCCACUCCAUCGGCUCUUCUUCUCUCACAAUUUCUCCUCUCUCGCUCUCACACCCACAACAAUCACUACUAAAGCCUUCACCCCAACUCUCUCUUCCCCACAACCGCAGGACCAACAAGAAGAGCAAGAGCAAUAGUUGGUCCUCAACUUGUACUUGAGGACCAAUUUAACCGUGCGUUUUUGGCAGAAGGCAAACGGUGCGUUUUUAACUUAAUAAAACGGUGCGUUUUUAAUUUAAUAAAACGGUGCGUUUAGUUCGGGGUUUGACUCGGGAUUUGACUCGGGGCAAACAUCAUUUUCCUUAGCAAAAAUAAUAUUAACCGUUUGAAUCCGAAAAUAAUUUUGCAGGUUUUGAACAUGCGUGUGAACGAGGAACCACGUGGUGCUCUCCGAUCGGCCCGGGCAGAGCAAUUCAAGAGAAGGUAACGUUAGUAUUUGUUUAUAUUAAUUAUUCAUAAUGAUAAUAGUAAUGGGUCUUUGAUAGCAGUUCUUUUGUAUUGAUCUUAUCUUUGAGCUUUUGUAUUCUGAUUUAUUGAGAAUUUCGCUAAGAAAAAAAUAUUUUAUUAAAUAAUUUAGAAUCUCUAUGAAGAAAAUAUUUUAUUAAAUAAUCUAGAUAUGUUUGUGGUUUCUGUAUCUUAUUGGAAGUUUGUGAGUGAAAAUAAUACUAGACGUGUUUAACACGAAGAUUAUAUGAUGUUCUUUAAUGUUGACGUAGAAAUUUGGUUACCUAAAAGAUUCAAUAGAUGUGGGCGAUAUAAUAAAAGUGGUACAUAAUUUUAUUUAAUUCAGCACUUAGGCUAUGUAAAUACUGACCAUAAGAAGAAAAUAAAUGCUUUUACUAUUGAAAGAAAGUUUACAAUCAUAUAUAUAUAUUUCUUCAUUAUUUAUAGCACCGGAAGAUAACAAUUAACAGAAAACUCAAAUUGAAACUCAUUUUGAUUAUCUCUAUCCCAUUGGGAUGAAUAUGAUGUUACAAUUCGAUCUCUAUUGCUACUAAUAUCUUAUUUUCUUUAAUUGAACUUAAAUCAAGCUUCUGCAUUCUUCCAUAUAUCAACCAAAAGCAAGCUUCAGGGCUCUUUCAACCUGGUUGCUGAACUAAAAUCGAAGCAAGCUCCUAAACUAAAAAAUAAGUUUCUAGGCCCUUUCAGCCCAAUUGCUGAAUUAAACUCAAAGCAUGCUCUUGCAGUCUUCCAUCUGCCUGCUGAGCUAAAACCAAUGCGACAAUCUCCUUGUCCUCCGGGACUCUUCCAAUCCAGAAGCUGAAUCAAAAUUUUCACAUCACUGGUCGCCAUGACAUCAUCCUCUGUUUUGUUAUCAAUUUCUUUUCAACUUUUCAUAUUUAUUGUUUCAAUAAGUUAGGAUAGUGAUAAAAAAAUUUCAAUUUUUUUAACAAAUUAGUUUGUCAACAUAUUAUUGUUGGAUAAUAUUCAUACGCAUCGACUUCAUUAAAUAAAUCGAAUUUUAUAUUAUUAUCCACUUAAUUGUUUAUUACCACAUUAGUUUAUACAUCCAUAAAAAGUUUGUACAAGUAUCUAUAUCGCUAUCGAUAUAGGGAUUGUAUGAUUUUUUAAAUUAAUAGGAUCGCAUGAUUAUUUUUUAAUCAUUAAUCCAACUAAUUUAAUUUAAUUAAUAAAGGAAAUUGUACACAGAAGGAAAGUCGGCUUAAUUCUAAAUAAAGUGAAAAGCCCGGAAUAAGCACGUUUCACUUUUUAAUGAAAGUAAAUUUAAAAUUUUAUGAUUUUACUAAUAAUUUAAAAUUGAAUUUUUUAAAUUCAUUUAAUUCUUAGUUUAAAAAAAAUACUAUAAUUGAUUUGUGUUUAUAAUUUAUUAAAUAAAUAAUUGAUAUCAUGAUUUUAAUAAAUAAAAUUAUAAAUAUCAUGAUUUUAUAAAUAUGUAUUAAUAUUAUUGUGAAGUAUGAUCUAUGACUCUAUAUAAGUCUAAGUUAACAAUCAAGUUAACUCUCAAGAAAAAAUUAUUAUUAUUGUUGUUGUUAAGUAUUAAAAAAGAAUUAUAAUACCAUAAGGUCAAAUUUAGUAAUUAAUAUAAUAUUAUCUUAUUAUUAUUAGUUUAUUAUUAUUAAAAAUGGACUUGAGUUUUGAAUUUUUGAUUCUAUUAAAUUUGAAUAAAGGUACAUGGACCCAAAAAAGUAUAUGGCUUGAAAAAAGUACACGGACAACUUGGCAUGCGCUCUUAAAAAUAGGGGUGGGCACGGUUCGGUUCAGAUUGAGAUUGAGCAGAACUUAUUAAAAUUGGUUAUUUUAUAAAAAGAACGGAUUAAGAACCGAAUACAAUAAAGAAUCAAAUAUGAAUCGAUCCAUUCGGUUUGGUUCGGUUUAUUUUUUUGGUCCUAGGUCUAUUGGACCUAUUUUGAAUUUCCAAAUUCUUAGCCCGUUGGGCCUCAUUAAUGGAGUAAUUUUCUUGGCAAUCAAUUCUUCAUAGUUUCAUUACAAAUACUAACAAUGAACACAAAGUAUUCAAAACACACUUAUCAUUACUGUCUAACUAACUACUACUAACAAAAUAUGAAAUAUUAAGAUUUAAGAAUACAAAUCUAGACUCCAAUGAUCCAUUUAAAUAAACAUAAAGUUGUAAAGACAAAUAAAAAUAAAAAUAGUCACAACACAAAAUAAAAAUAAUAGUCAUGUGUGAGCAUGUCUAUUGUAAUCAUUUUGCAUAGCCAAUUAACAUUAAACACAUUUCACGAUUUGGUAAAAUUACAAAAACAUUGCAGUUUUUCGGUUCAGUUGGGUGAACCAAAAUUCGAACCAAUAUUUCAGUUUUUUUCUUAUAAAUCGGAUAUUCAUAAAAAUUAAAACCGAUCCGAACGUGAACAUAACCGCUGGUUCGGUUCAGUUUUUCCUAAGCCUCAUUUCUUUCGCCCAAUGCUACUUAAAAAAAAUAAAAAAAAGGAAAAAGUCCAUUGGGCUUUUUUUCUUAGGUACGACACGAUAUGGCCCAUGGCACGACACGUGUGCCGGGCUAGACCUAAGCAAAAGAAAUUAGGUAUGACACGACACGGUACGAAACACAUAGUCGGCACGACAUGACAUGAGCACGAGCAUACAUGGACCUUCCUUUGAUGGCUGGCUCGACCCAUUGGCCAUCUCUAGUCAUAAAUAUUUGAUUUGAACAAUCAUUUCUCGAUUUUCCUUUAGUAAAAUUAAACUUUAGGAAAGAUAUGACGGUGAUGAUUUAUCACAAUGUAUGAUAGAAUACCAUAUAAAACAAUUCAAGUAAAAUAGAAAUUAGUAACCUAAUUUCACAAGAUGAACUCAAGGAUAAGAUUAAUUAGCCUUUAAGUAUGAUAGAUUAGAGAAAGCAUGAGCCAUGAUGCUAGGGUUUUUUUUUUUUCCAAAUUUGUCCAUGUCUUCCUCAUAUAAUACCAUCCGUGCUUCUACUCCUUCACCAUCACUUGUGUAUGAUAAAAGGCAGCGUUAGGUAAUGACAUCGACCAGAGACUAAACCAAACAUGCUUCCCCCAACCAACAUCAGCUUCUUAAUAAAGCAAUCCAACCACACUAGUCAAAUUAAAUGACUUUGAAUCUUCCAAUGCUUUAUUCGUAUCUUUCAUGAAACCUAAGUAUUCAAUAUUAUUCAUCACAUUGCUUACCUUUCUCUUUGCUUUGAUCACGUUUUCACUAAGCUUGUUAGCUCUGUGUCAUCAUCCUCGGCUAUUGACCAUUCUGCCCUUACAAAGCAAAAAAUGUUACUUAUGCAUUGUGGAAUCAUUGGCGGAUCUCUGCAAAUUCAUAGUAUAAUAGAUUGCAUGAGAGUAAAACUUGUUAUUAAUUGCUGUUUUUCUUUCUCGAGCAAUAGUAAUGAAAGCACCCUAAAUGAGUGAUGAAACAACCAUGAGAUGUGACGCUUGUAACUCAUUAGCAAAACUGCCUGUCAUUAUUUCUUUUUUCAUAUUCUCUUUUAGAACUGUUAUUUUCUUGCCAUCAGAAAACAACCUUUUGAACACUACUUUAGAUGUUAAUUGUGGCUUUAUGUGCUGAUCCUUUAAUGAAUUGUGUGAUGGAAACAACAAGGAGCUAUGUAAAACGACAUUAUUGCAAAUAUUUUCAUUUAUCCCAGAUUGAUCUCAAUUCACAAUUUCAUGAAGUUAGAAAUUGUUGAAUCAUUUGCCAAUCCGGGCCAUAUAUAAAUACCAAUUGUCAUGUCGCUGCUGUUGAACUAAUUUGCUUGAACAGCCAAAAGCUUUCUUUCAGAAGGUUUGCGACUUUGUGAACGACCUUUUGUUGUCAAUGCCUCUACAGCUGUAUUGUUGUGAUCUUUUCUAUUUUUUUUUUGUCUCAGAGUUAUACAACUCACUACAUACAACAUUGAUUGUGAUAUUGUUCUUCAUAUGAAGCAAAGUGGUGGUGAGAUGAUCAUAUUCAUUAGGAAGGGAAUUUAACAGCAACAAUGACUUUUCUUUAUCUUUAAAUUUCUCAUCCAGAUUUAGAAAAUCCACUAAUAUCCUGUUAAAUGAGUUUACAUGGUCAUUUAUCAACAUGUCAGGUGCAUACGUGAAUCGAUAAAGUUUUUUCUUCAUUUAAAUCCUAUUUUCAAGGUUUUUCUUCAUGUACAUUUCUUCCAGCAUAUGCCAUAAUUUCUUUGCUGAUAUCUGCCUCAUAACAGAGUAUUUCUAAUCUUUAGGCAGACAUAGGCGAGAAGUGCCAUAUGCUUGUUUAUUGAUCUUUAUCCACUUCUUGUCAUCUAUCUUGUCAGGUUUUUCUUUAAGAGUGAGGUCCAACUCUUGCUGAUAUAAGACAUCCAACACCUUACAUUCAAAUUUCGCAUUCGUCACAGUAGUCUUUGUUGAGAAAGAUGAAGAUGAUGCCUCUACCAUCCCUUUUUUUUUAAUUACCUAACCCGAACGAACAAUGUCUACGUGUCUAUUUAUGUAGAUAAUGCACCACGAAAGUUCUCAGGAGAAUGGAGGGUCUCAAUGGUCCCACUUGAAAUUUCUCAGACAUGCAUUUAUCCACACAACUACAUUGUGGGCUCCUGAUACUCCCAAGUACAGACUGUUGGCUCCACCGUAUUCGUGAACAAUACAAUAUAUGUGAACAAUAUUGUAUAUGUGAACAAUGCCGUUUACCUCAAGUAUGAACCAUCUGCUAUGAUAUCAAUUGUUACAGAAGUGCGGGUUGAGUAGUUACUAAUAUUAUGGUGAUUGCGACUUGUGGAUAAAUAUAAUUGUAGUGAUAAAUAAAUGCAACGAAAAUAGGACACAAUAAUUUACAUGGUUUGGCGUAAAGUCUGUCUAUAGAUAAAGACUAGAAGAUAAUUUCACUAAUAAAUGAGAAUUUACAAAAGUGAGAAAAACUCUCAAAAUCCAAAAACCCAAAAACCCAAAAUGAAAAAAACAACCAAUUGUAUUUUCACUAAAAUACUCAAGUAAAAACUUUCUCAAAUCUCUCAAAUUACUUCACUUACAAUUGCUUUAAAAAAUAUGGGACGCUAACAAGUGCAAAAUGCUUCUAUAUUUAUAGAGAUCAUUUUGCACCGGCCAGCCAAAUUGAGGCAUUGAACAAACUUGACCAAUUGAUGAAAUUGGCUAAAUUAUGUCCUUGAAAAUUCAGCUUUGGUAGGCACCGAAUUCGGUGCCCAACAAGCUGACUUUUCAACACACAGUCAACAUUGUCAAAGUAUUUGGCUGCAGCUUCUAGAAGCUACAUCUAGAAGUGUUGAUGCAGCAAAUGUUGAAGGGUUAGGCAUCGCCAAGGAAGAAAAAGAAGGAAGAAUGAAGAAGAUGUUGCAGAAGUUGAUCUUGACAAAUGAUGGUUGGAACGCCAAAAUGGAAGAAAGAAAAAGGUUGGAACACGGCUUUGAAGAAGCCAUGAGAAGAAUAAAGAAAAUAUUAAAAUAAUAGCCAAUUUUGGCUAUAUAAGGGAAGCUCCCCAUUUCUUUGUUUGCAUCCAAUCCUCGGUUUCUCUUCUUCAUUCAGAGAGUGUUUCUUUGGGGUGUAUUUGGGGAUUAGGUGAGAGAAAAUUAUUUCUGAGAGAGUGGUUGUAAUAAUUUUCCACAUAGUGAAUAUUUUUUCUCUGGUUGUCUUUUUGACAACGGCCGUGGUUUUUCUCCGGAUUUAGAGUUUUCCACGUAAAUCUUGUGUUGUGGGAUUGAUAUUAUUUUUCUUGUUAAUUUGUUACUUGACAAAUUGCUUGGAGAGAUCCUGGGAGGAAGCUCAAUUACCUAACAAACAUUAGCUUCAAUAAAUGCGGCCCUUUGAUCAUUACAAUCGACUGAAAAGCUAUCAAUCAAUCUUCCAACAAAACGAUAAUAGUGGGUCAAUGAUUUUGGGAGAGGUUGCUUCAACAAAUCGGAUUUUUUUUUCCCCAAAAUCUUGGUGGUUACAAUUGGCCGAGUAGAAGAAAACUAGGGAAAUGUAAACAUCAGAAUAAGUUUGAUCAAUCAAUGAAAGUUUAUAGGUUCUAAGAUGUUUUUCCGUUGGAAAUGAAGAUUUGACUCUUUCGGUGGAAAUGAUUUGAACAUUAGAAGCGACACUUUUGAUAUUGGUGACCAAUUUGGAAGCAGUUGGUCGGAAAAUGUUUUUGAGAAUCACUACCAUUUCUUGCUGGCUUUGAGAAAUUAUUCACCAAAGUGAGUGUUGAGUGGCCUACUGUGUGUGCUGCCUUAUCUAUCAUAUUUAUUAUAAGGUGGGUUUUUUUUUUUAAAUUUAAAUGAAUUAUUAUUAUUUUUUAAAUUUGAAUGAAUCUGAAUACAAAUAUCUAAAUGAUGAAUUUAUUUUUUUAUUUUUUAUAUUUGAAUAUAGGUGGCAUUUUGCUUGUUUUUAUAAAUAAAAAACAUAUUAAACAUGGUUAUUUGACAUUUAUUUCUUUAUAAAUUAGAAAAAAUCUUAUAAUUCAGCAAAUAAGUGUAUUUUUAGAGAUAUUUUUAGAAUAUAAUAUUUAUUUCUUAUUCACGCCUUUUUUUCAUUUAGAUAAAAGUCACAAAAGUUAUAUUUUUUCUAUUCUGAUGUAAAUUUCUUAAAAAUCAAACAUAAUUUACAAAAAAAAGCAAAACUUAAAAAAAAUGAAAUUAAUAAAACUUCAUAUUCCAAAUGUUUAACAAACAAGCGAAGUUUCUUGCAUAAUUAUAUAAUUACUCGUGAUAAGAUUGGAACUCCAAGAUAAUAAAGAAAAUAAAAACAAAUUGGCUAAAAAGAUAGAAAUCAACAAAAGAAGGUGAUUAGAAAUAUGGAUAAAACAUAAUAUUAUCAGGAAAGACGGGCUUCAAAAUAAAUAAUUUCAAUAAUAGACAAUAAUAACAAAAUUCUCCCCCUUGCGUUGAAGUCUGAAUAUGCCGGUAACAAAAAGAUCAGAUUGAGAGAUAUCAAAUUUUAAUACUUCUUGUUACUUAUUAUAUAAGAGCAUAUGUUUAGUAUAUGGAAAGAAGGGAAAUUAAUGAAUAAAAUAAAAUAAAAUCCGUUGGCGAAUUCGAUGAAUCCCAAAGCUGCGCAUAUAUAUUUAGUUUAUUAAAAUUUGCACAACACUUAUAUAUUCUAUGAAAGUAACAUAAUAUUAAAGAUUAGUCCAUAAAUAUACUAGUUAUUUUUUAUUUUAACGUCACAAGAAUAUUAAUUAGCAAAAAAUAACUUUUGUAUCUUUCAGGGGAUAAGUCGGGUUGGUUUGCCCCCUCAUAGUGAGAACAAAGGUCAUAGGAACAGGAUCAUUUUCCCCUCGCACCAACCUUGGAAAAGAAAAUUAUUUAAUUGAUAUUUAUGUAUAGGAUGGGAUGUGAAAUUAAAUAAAAAAACCGUAAAAAUAACUUUUGAUACUUUUGUUGAAAUUUGAAUUGUAUAUGCAUACAAGGACAUAAAUAUAUACGUAGAGGCUUCAAAAUUUUUUAUAUUCAAUUUUGAUUAGGUAGAGGACCAAAAAAAUCAAUUUAUAGUGUUCAGCAUGAAUAAGUAAACUAGGAAUAACACAGCUUGGACCUACCAAAUUAUCAUGUGAUAAUGAUAUUUUUACCUUAAAGAGACGUCUAAGAUAAAUUUUUUACAGUAAAAUUUUUAUUUUAUUUUAACAACACGAGAUAAAAAGAUUAUGUUAGAAGCCUUAAAAGCUAGUUAAUCUUAAAUUUUUUUUGAAAGAUAAUUCUCCCAUAAUCCAUUAAUUUAAGUUAUUAUUCAUUCUUUAAAAUUUUAAAUUUAAGUUUCAUUCUUUACAACUUUAAAUUUAAGUAAUAGAAUAAAUAUUAUACAAUUUAUUUCUUUUCAUGUUAAGUAAAUAAUUGAGAUUAUAUUUUUCUAAAUAUUAUCUCACCUCCAUAUAUGUGAUGAGGUAUGAGUAAUUUUACAUAAUUUCAAAGUUGCAUAUAGAAAUCUAUUAUUUUGAAAAUAUUAUUUAUAAACUCUAUAAUAAAACUUAAAUUACCGUUCAAGUACUUAUUUGAUAUUUAUUUAUUUUCAUUUUGAUAUUGUCAAAAUUUAUAUAAAACUUUGUCCAAUUUUGCAUUAAACUAAACGCAAGAGAACAAUAUUGUAAUCCAAUUGGUAUUUUAAGUAAAUGGAUGUGGAGAGUAUUAUAGCAAGUUAAAAUAAUCCAUCUAUAUUUUUAAUACUUAAUUAUGUUUAUUUACUAAGUCACCAUUGAUCCUUUUAAAGAUAAUAAAACAUUUUAAUGGACUUAUGUGCAAAAUUUUGAAAACUAACCUUUCUUUAUAAGUUUUAGAAAAAUGAGGGGCUGCAACAUUAAUGACCAAGUAAUUAAAUCCUUACCAUUGGAAUAGCUUUUGUAACUCUUGGGUUGAAUCUAAUGGUUGGAUCACAAAAAGACAAAAAAUGAAGUACGAAAUCACGGUUGGAUAGUAGCUGGACCCCAAACGAUAACCAUUAAUUGCAAAAUAUGAUAGAUGUAAAUAUAUCCUUAAAAGCUUAGCAAAAGCUCUAUUAAGUACUGGAUUAUAAUAUGAAUUUAUAUAAUGUUUGAAAAAUAAAACUAAAAAUUAUACAAUUGAUAUGAUACUUGGUAAUUUGAUUCAUAUUUUAAGAUUGAGUCAAUCAAUGUUGAUGAUAAUUAAUCAAUAUUUAUAAUGAUUUAUAAAGAUAGAGAUAAUAAUAAAUUGUUUUGAUUUAUAAUUUUGUUUCUAUCGUUGUCUGGUUAUUUUCAUCAAUAGCUUCCGUGUGUGAUGUGUCCAAAAUCAAUUAAUUUGGUCCCCUUUUCAUGUCUAUUUUGUCUUAUAUUCUUCGUUGUAUAAUUCUUUAAGAAGUAAUGCUAAUUAUGGGGUUUUUUUUUGACUUAAUAAUUUAAUUGACGUACAGUUAGUUAAUCCAUUAAGUCUAUUUGUGUUUUUAACUUAAUGAAAAUUUUCAAUCGUUAAGUUAUUAAGUUAUUAAGAUAUUUUUUUAGCUAUUUUCUUAAUCUUAAAACUCUAAAUGAUCUCACUGAAAGAUAUUCUCAAAAAAUUACUAUAUAAUUAACUAAUUUUUAUCCUUAUCUAAAUAAAAUUUAAUAAUUAGUAUUAUUAUCGAUCUCUAUAACUUGUGAUAAUAUAGUAGCUGACUAUUAUUAUUUAUCCUUUUAUUUUCUUCAAAUUAGCUAUAUUUAUCUUUAUAAUUUUUUAUAAAUAUUUUUCAUAUAAAAAGAUCAUAAACUACGAUAAAAUUAAUUAACAUAUACUAUUUUAGAAAAGGUUCUAUGAAUUAAACAUAAUUUAUAUAUUGAUAAUGUAUUAUCUUAUUUAAGUUCUUUGAGAUGUUUAUAAUUUGUAAGGACAUAAAUGUAAAAAUACUAGUUUUUAAAAUUUUUGAAGUUAAAAAAAAGUUUAAUAUUUAUUUUUAGCAAUUCAAAUUUAGACAUUUAGUUAUAUUCAGAAUUCAGAUCAAUUUAGUUCUAUUCAGAUUUAGACAAAAAAUCUAAUGCCACCUAUGUCUCUCUACCUAAGUCUUAUUUGAUUAUCUUUAUUUAAAAACAAAUUCUCGUUCGAUUGAUGUUUGCAGGAAUCAUCAAGAGCUUUUUGUUUUGCUAGUUUAAGUCUUUAAGACGUUGGAUUAGCUAUGUAAAUAUUCUUCGAAACCACGCUUACGAGUUAUGAUGCUAUUAUUAGAAAUUUGCAGGACAAUGCUAGCGGCAUGACAAUUACUCUAUGGCGACUUGUUUACAGGAUUUAUUAGUUGUGAAGUGAGUAUACGAAAUAUGGAACUCGACGGUCGAGAUUAGAGCUUUUACGAUAACUGCCAACAAAAUAUGCAAACGGCACCAAAAUGUAUUCAGAAGAAAAGCAUUUUUAAUGUAUCUUCCGUAAACUAAUAAAGCAAGAUAUCUUGUAUGAGAAGUACUACUCACUGAUAAAUUUGUAAAUUAUCUUAUGGUUGACAAGUGGGUACCUCCUUAUUUCUCUCUUGAGGUUGAGGGUUGGAGUCCUCUCAUUUACGUAGUAGGUUGAUUUUCUUCAAAAAAAUUUAAAAGUAGAUCCAAUGUGUUUGGGACCAUAUAUCUAGGCUCUACCAUCAUAGAGUUGGUUGACAAUAUUUUAAUAGGAUUGUAAUUGUAAAUAGCAGUAGAGUAUAAUAUCAUUCAAAAAAAAAAAACAACAAAUUAUUGGUGCUUGCACUAAAUAUACUAGUUAAUUUUAUUCAAUAAUAAAUAAGCUUAAAAUAAUUAUAAGUAAUGCUACAAAUGUAGUUAGGAAAUAGGAACAAUGACCAGAAUUAAGGCCAAUGCUUGUUACUUUAGUCUAUCAAGCAAUAGCCUUACUCUAUCUAAUAAUUUUUCCCCCUCAAAUUAUUACUACUAUAAUGCCUACCAUACUAUAAUAGUAAACUCUUGGUCCUUAAGUCUUAAGACAAUCCAUCUACUUGUCGUAAAAAAAUAAAGACAACAUAUAUUUAUAAUUCAAAUAAUUUAUCAUCAUACUAUGAAUAUAACCCUAUUAUUUUUUAAUUAUAUAUACGCAACUUAUGUAUUUUUUUAAUUUGAAAAUUCUCAUUUAAAAUAUAUGAGUUGUUAACAUGGACAAAACCAUCGACUUACAACUAGGAAUAAAUAAAUUAAAGUCAAUACUCGUUAACUUCUACAUAUUUCAUGCAACAUCAUCGUCUUCAGUGACACUAAGGUUAUAAUAGAAAAAGACCAAUAACUCAAUAGCAUGCAAAUUAUAUAUUUGAGUGACAACAAUGUUAUAAUAGAAAAAGAAUAAAAAAACUUUUUUUUUUAAUUAUUACAUUUUCUAACAUUGGGGUUGUACUGAGAAAUUAAAAAAAUUAGGGACCUAAGUGCAAACGUGAGAAACAUAAAUAUUUAUCUUUCUACCUUUGAAUUUUCUAAUAUACAACACAGUGAAAUUGCUUCUUGAACAACUGGACUUUUAUUUUUAUUUUUUAAAUUAAGUUCAGGGAUGAGUAAAGUCUAAAUGAAUUUUUAUCCCCCCUGUCUCUUUCAGGUGACCAGUCAAAUAAAUGAGAAAUUUUAGAAUAGUUUGAGGUAUCAUAUUAGUCAAACAACAAAUAAAUAAUAUUAUGACAUGUAUGCAUUUAGUUUGAAGAGCCAGAAUGCAAUUGGUGGUUAUAUAAAAUUCAACUACAUGUUUCAUACAUACAUUAAUUGUUUGUAUUAUUUCUAAUGUUUUAUAGAAUUUCUCUAAAUAAAGUUAUUUGAAAACCAUUCUACCAAGCCUUUGAGGGAAAAAAAAACAAAUGUUACUUGAACCAUUAAACUUAAUUCAACCAUAAAUGUUUGAUUUGAACGUCCCUUCAAAAGGUUGGGACUUUUUUAAUUGACUUAUUUUAAUAGCUUAAUUGAUAAAUUUCAAAUUAAAUUGGAAGAUUAUAAUAUGAAACUCUUGGAAUUUUCAUAAGUUAAUCAGAAGGGAAAAUGAAGGACAGAUCGAUCAUUUCUGGUAAAAAAGUCUUGUGCAUGUCCUUAGAUGAUCCCAACAGUGUAUAUUCAUUUUCCUUUAUCAUUAACCAUCAAUUAUUUCUGCAUAUUUGUUAUCAUAAAAUUCGGAUAAAAUAAUCGUUGAUUCCUUUCAAUCAAACGGAAGCUUCCUUUGUAUGUUUUUGUCGAAGUCAAAUGAUCAUGUUGUUUUCACAUGCGUAUGCAUUGAACCAUUGUAAUUAACAAAGUGUAUCAAUUUUCAAUGAGUCAAUUAAGGUGGGACUGAAAAACUCUAUUAAACUUGUGGGAGUGGAACCGACAUCACACGUUUACAACAAUUACUAGACACAUAUAAUCUAUUUUUGAAAUUCAUAACACUCUCAAUAAUUUAGUUUAACAAAUAUUUAACUUCUUUUUAUCUAAUUUCUUAUCUCAUCAGCACUGCGGAAGUGGAUUAUUUCAUAAGCAGCAGCAAUCCAAAAGUAUCCCUAAAUAAAUAAUUUUAUUCAAUAUUAGGAUUUGUUCGCCAAUGACUGGCUUUAGAUUUUUACAGUAAAUAAAAUUACUAUAAAAUUUAAUUAUAUGUACGUUAAAUUUUUAUGAAAUUCUAAAAUCAAUUUUGGGGGUUUGUAUAAUAAAAGAGUAUAAUAGUAAAAAAUAGUUGUCUUUAAAAUAGUAUCUCUUAUUUGUAUAUUUGAGUAAAUUUUAUAGGGAGUUUAGAUGUCUUUUUCGCAGUGCAUCAACUUUCAUUUUAUGUGUCAAGUACAAUUUAUAUUUUUUUAUUUAAUUAACUCACACACAUUAGUGAGGCUCGAACCUAAAAUAUGAGUCUUUCAGAGACCAUUUUUUACCAUUGAAACUAGACCUUGCCGUCUAAUGUCAAAUACAAUACGAGAUCAAUAAAAUUAAUUUAUCUUAUAUAUAUCCCAGCAAGUUUUAUAGUCCAUGGCCCAAUUUCAACUCUUCUAUCAUUUUCUACAUGUAGCUAUAAAAAAAAGGAGUUAUAGUGAAAAGAUGAACAGGGAUCUAUAUGUUUAUUUUUGAAAUCAUAGCAGUUAACCGUCUCUUGUUUCUAUAUUUGGGCAAAUUUUGGGAGUUUAGAUGUCAUUUUCCAAUACAUAAACUUCAAUUUUUGAGUUUGAAUACGAUCUUUGAUAAGAAGAGGUAAAAAAAAUUUAGCUUACAUACAUACUAGAAAGAUAAUUUCUCCUCUCUUUUUCUCUCUUUCUCCACGCGAUGGAGUUCCAGUUUCUUUUCAGUCUAUCCUUUUCUGUCAUCUGUCUAAUCUUCUUCUUCAAACUAGUAUUCCAAUCCCAAAACCCUAACACGAAAUCCCUCCCUGGGCCACUGAAACUUCCUCUUAUCGGCAACUUGCACAACAUGAUAGGCUCGCAGCCACACCAUGUUCUCAAAGAAAUAGCUAGAAAACAUGGGCCUUUAAUUAAACUUCAAUUGGGAGAAAUAUCGACAGUAGUAAUCUCUUCUGCGGAGUUAGCCAAAGAGGUUAUGAAGACACAUGAUCUGGCCUUCGCGGAUAGGCCAGAAUUUCUAGCCUUCAAGGUUUUGUACGAGAAAACUGGCAUGCCUAUUGUGUCAGCACCUAUUGGUGAUUAUUGGAGGCAGAUGAGAAAACUGUGCUCUUUGGAGCUGCUAAGUAACAAAAGAGUCAAGUCAUUUGCUCAUAUUCGUAAAGAUGAGACAUUGAAUCUAAUUGAAUCCAUUCGCUCCGCGUCUGCAACUUCAAAUUCUCAACCAAUUAAUCUCUCUAAAAUGAUGGUUUCGUUCACAAGCACAGUGACUUUCAGGGCUGCAUUCGGGAGCAGAUUUGAGCAACAAGAUGAGUUUGUAUCACUAGACAAAGAAAUAUGCAAACUGGCUGGAGGUUUUUCUUUGGUAGAAGUGUUUCCUUCGCUAAACUUUAUUCAUUUUUUUAGCGGCAUGGAAGCUAAGAUAUUGAAGCUUCAUGAUAAAGCAGACAAGAUCCUAGAUAAUCUAAUCAACCGGCGUAGGGAGAGCAUGAAAUUGGAGAAAAUUACUGCUACUGCUGCUUCUGGAGAAGAAAAUUUAGUUGAUGUGCUCUUAAGGCUUCAAGAGACCAGCAGUUUGGGGUUUCCUAUUACUACCAAAAACAUCAAAUCUAUUAUUUGGGUUAGUAUAUAUAUAAAUGAACCAACCAGUUUGUUUUCUUAAAUAAAAUCAGCAUAUAUAUAUAAAUGACUUCAUUUUUUUCUAAAUUGAAUUACUAUUUAUGCCUCUAGGGCUUUAACUAAGUGAUGUUCAAGGAGUUUUCUUUAACUACUUACCAAGUUCCAAUCCUGAGAGUAGGGUUUAAAAGUUCAAUUUAGAUUUUUCCUACUAAUCUACCAUUUUAUAAAAAAAAAAAAAAAAAAAAAAUAGUAGAGACCUCCUUUAUUUUUAAAAUGGUAAUAUAGACCCUUUUAAUGACAGUAUACCAUUUGACUACGCACUAGUUACCUAGUUGUAGUUUAUUUAUGCAUAAUUGUUAAAAAAAGAGUUUACAUGUGAUUGUGGUUAAAAACAUAAGGGUUUCUAUUACCGUUUUGUCAAAUCAUCUGUCAUUUUUCCUAUAAUUUUUCAUUUUAGGUUUUAAUUUAUUAAACAAAAUUAUUUAACUUCCAAUAUUUUUAAUUUCUAGAACAUAUUUUCUGGGGGAACAGAAUCUGCUGCCACAACGACAGUAUGGGCAAUGUCAGAGUUGAUGAGAAACCCUGGAGUGAUGAAGAAGGCACAGGCUGAAGUAAGAGAAGCACUCAAGGGAAAGAAAACAAUUUCGGAGGCAGAUAUUCAGGAACUAAAUUACUUGAAAAUGAUCAUCAAAGAAACUCUAAGAUUGCACCCACCAAAUCCACUCUUAGUUCCACGACAGACCAGGGAGGCAUGCGAGAUAAAAGGCUAUGAAAUACCUGUAAAGACCAGAGUUGUAGUAAAUGCAUGGGCUAUUGGAAGAGAUUUUAAGUACUGGAAUGAAGCUGAGAAUUUUGUACCUGAGAGAUUUAAUGGUAACGGAGGCAACAAUUCGAUCGAUUUCAAGGGAAAUGACUUUGAAUUUAUUCCAUUCGGGGCAGGACGGAGGAUGUGUCCAGGCAUAGCAUUUGGUCUAGCUAACAUUGGGCUGCCUCUCGCUCAGCUUCUCUAUAAUUUUGAAUGGGAACUCCCUGGUGGAAUUGCAUCGCAGGAUCUUGACAUGAGUGAGGCUUUUGGAGCCAUUGUCUCAAGGAAAAAUGAUUUGUGCUUACUUGCCACUCCUGUCUCGCCUGAUAACGAUCAUCAACUCUGAUGAUAUUUUACUUGCAUUUUAAUUUAUUAUGUGAAAUAUAUAAGAUGAAUGUGUGAGCCAAAUAAUAUUAGCUGUAUUUUAUGGCCGUUGAAAAUGUUUUUGUAAUUUUGCUUAGCAAGUGAAAGAUAUUAGACUAGUUUGUGCAUAUUUCUCCGGAUCCCAGCGUGCCAUGCUAUAUGUUAAUGGAAGAUGUAUAUUAAUCAAAUUUAACUAUAAUGAAUUUUGAUAUCUAAUCUUCAGAUAUUUCAAAAUCUAAAAUUUUAAAUGCCUGGCUUCAAUUUUGACUUUCAAAAGUAUCAUUGAACCUAUAUACGGUCUUUCAGAAAUUCUUCCAUUCUUUCUUCUUAAAAGAAAAUUUUAUCGUAAUGAAAAAACUUUAGAGGAGCCAAAAUAAUAAAAUAUUAAAAUAAUAAUAAAAAAAAUUUUGUUGCUUAUUUUCUAUUUUGAACUUUAUUAAUUAUUACCCAAAAUUAUCUCAACAUGUUCCACCCAUUUCACAAUAUUGUUUUUCCUCAUUACUUUUCUCUAAUCUCCUAAAUUUAUAAUUACAGAAAGAUGAGUUGUAACUCAUCUCCGAUUGAGAACGCCUGUUAGUCAAUAGCUUAAAUCACCCAAGCUCUUUAACUUUUGAUUUUAUCAAUUUGUCAAUUGAGAGCAGUUUUAUUUUGAUAGAAUGUGGAUAUGUUACACAACAUGGUUCUGUAGUUAUUUACAGCUUUCCCCAUAUCUGUGAGCAGCUUUAUUCACUAUUAACGUUAAUUUUGCACAGUAAUUUUAAUUAUUGUACUAUUUUCCAUCUCAUAGGAAAAAGAUAGAUUCAAUUACUGAUGGUCUGUAUGUUGAAAAGUCAAAUGGUCGGCUUACCAAUUUCAAAAAAGCAAAGUUAGGUUUUGAAAGCAUGCAAAUUGAAUAAAUGGCAUGGGACAACUAGCAUGCAUUGCAUGACAAAUUUGGCACCAAUUGCUAAAUUUGUCCAUUUGGCCAAUUAAAGUCAAAUUGAAGCCGUGUGGUAGGUGAGCAAGCUUUGCCUAUAAAUAGAGGAGUAGAAUGCAUUUGUAAAGCAUCCCAAUUUGAGAGAAGUAGAGAGCAAUUGCAAGUGAGUUCUUUGAGAGAAUUUGAAAGAGCUUCCACUUGAGUGUUCUAGUGAGGUUCAAUUUGUGUGUAUUGGGGUUGUGGGUUUUGUGAGUUUUUCCCACUUUUGUAAAUUUCCAUUGUUAGUAAAAUUAUCUUUCAGUCUUUGCCCAUGGAUGUAGGCAUUACGCCGAACCACGUAAAUCAUUGUGUUUUAUUUUCUUUGCAUUUGUUUAACACCACAUUUAUAUUUCUCCAAAAGUUGCAGUAUUAGUAAUUGCUCAACCCACGUUUCCGCAACAAGUGGUAUCAGAGCCGACGGUUCGUACUUGGGGGGAUACAAUACUGUUCACGUAUACGGUACUGUUCACGAAUACGGUGGAGAUGACCAUUUAUACUUGGGAGACAGUCUAUUAUAAGUAGUGUGUAUUUUUGCAUGUCUAGGAAAGUUCUGUCAACAAGGCGAUAAGAGUCUAAGGAUUCUGGUUUUUAAUUGGGACUGAGUUCCCGUCCAGUCUCCUGGGAACUUUUCUGGUGCAUUUAUUUACACGAAAUGAACAUCAUAGAGGUUUUUUUUUAAGUGUAAAUAGUUGUUGAAGAAACUGAUCAUUUGAGAUAAAAAAAAAGAUGGCAGAGACAUCGUCGUCGUCUUCAUCAGCGAGGACUACUGUGACUAAUGCAAAGUUUGAAGUGGAGAAAUUUGAUGGUACCAAUAAUUUUGGUAUGAGGCAAUGUGAGGUGUUAGAUGUCUUAUGUCAGCAAGAGUUGGACGUUGCUCUUGAAGAAAAGCCUGACAUGAUGGAUGACAAGGAGUGGAUAAAAAUCAACAGACAGGCAUGUGAUACUAUUCACCUGUGUUUGGCUAAAGAUAAGAAAUACUUUGUCAUGAGGGAGAUGAUAACUCUAGGAAAUGAGAGUUAUUACAUAUGUUCUAGACUUGAAUAAAGGCCAUUUAGAAAGCAAAUAAUGUAUUUUGAUUACAUUUUGGUGAACUUUUGUAUAAACAUUCAUUUUAGUUGAGUCUUAACAAGUUUGCUUGAAUCAUAGUAAUUUGUGCUAAAAACAGGUUUUUAUUUGUAGGUUUUAAAUUCAUAAAAGGAUGCGGAGACAUUAGAUGAGAAAGAGGAGGAAAGAAGAUGACAUAAAAGAAGCAAAGCACAAUCGGAAAUGACACAAGUGCUGUUGCGGAUGUUAGAGCAACCAAUGCUGCAGCAAUCUGGGAGAAACGCGGGAGAAAAUAUAGGCGCGGGUCAAUAAUUAAAUUACAAUUUGCAUGUUUCCUAAUUUAAACAUAGGAACGCGCAUGGGAGUUGGUUCAGAAAACCUAAUUUGCAAAUAUAUAAAGGAGGCAUGCACCGCAUAGAAGCGGCGGUGGAAUUAACAUUAAAAAACAAUUAAAAAGGGAAGAAGAAGAUCAAGAUUAAGGAGGGAUGUUCGACAUCAUUGAAGCACCGAGGAGGAUCCAUAGACUUUCAUCGUGCUCAGCUCAUAUUAUCUUUCUUCCUUUGAUUGAUUGGAUGUAUUCUACGAUCAGUAUAUUUAUGUUUAUUUUUCUCAUUCAAAAUAUGAACUGAAUUUACUUGUAGUUGAGUGACAAAUAAUCCAAUGGGUUCUUGAUUGUUCUUAUAUGAUGUUAUGAUAAUGCUGUAGCAUUAUACUCUAAUAGUUUUUAUGACAUAAUUGUUAUUUCGGUUGACCACUCAUUUAAUAGUUUCAGUUAAGAUAGAGCAGCAAAAGGGCAUGUCUUAGCGGACAUUAUUAAAGUAUUACUUGUUCUUAAAUUGAGUUUCCUGGAUUAGGUUAUCUUAAAUCCCAUAAGGGCAAUGCUUGAAAUUAAGAUUUGUGAUAUCCUAGACAUAGGUGUUCACCUUGUAGAGUAGAGAGAUUAAAGAUCAUAAAGCCAUACAUUAAAUUUAUGAGCAACUCGUCAUUAUUAGUAGAUUUAAAGGUAUGAGAUUUCCAACAUGCGAUAGCUGCGGAUGCAGAUUUGUUCUACCCAGUGCUGCAGCACUUAUCAUAACAACUGGUGCUAAUUCGGUAAUCAACAGUCACCCCAUUAUGAGAGUUUGAUCAUUCAACUACUAUAUUCUCAAUUGAACCUUGGACACAUUUAAUUAAGUUUAUUUUAUUACGAUAUUGCUUUAAUUCCCAUCUCUCACAAUUAUUAUUUACGAUAGAAUUAUUUGGCAAUUGUUUGUUUCGGUCUUUAGUUGACGUGCAUUAUUGUGAUUGCUUUAGCAUUUUGAGUAACAUCAAUCCCUGUAGAGACGAUCUUGAAAACUCAUCACUUUAUUACUUGUUGUGUAUACUUGCACAUUGGCAUUGAUAAUAAUUGAUUAUAUAAAUCAACCAACAAGUUUUUGGCGCCGUUGCCGGGGAUUGAUUGUUUAUUUUUGGAGUGUGAAGUAAAUUGCGAUAGCACCAAACUUAACUCAAUUCAUUCUAUUGAUUGGCAGAUCAGUACGUGCAUGCGCAAAGAAAGAUCUGAGAUAUUCCAAUUCGAUCAUGAGAUUGAAAGGACUAUCAGGAGAUUGCAAAGAGAACAAAGAAAUUCAAAGACUACUUCAGGCAUGAAUAACUUACAAGAUGAAGGAAAUUUGAACCCUCACGGACCUUUACAACCAGCCAACAUUCAAGAAGAGCAGAAUGAAUAUGCUAACGGGAGACAACCAGGAAAUAACAAUAUUAUUUGCAUGGCAGACGACAGAGACAGAGCUAUACGAGAUUAUGUUGUGCUAACUCCUCAAGUCGUCCAUCCUGGCAUCAUCAGACCUGAAGUAGAUGCUGCCAACUUUGAGUUAAAACCAGUGAUGUUUCAAAUGUUGCAAAUAGUUGGGCAAUUCAAUGGAUUGCUAAAUGAAGAUCCUCAUCUCCAUCUUAAAUUGUUCUUGGAAGUAAGUGAUGCUUUCAAAAUUGUUGAAGCAACGCAAGAUGCCUUAAGGCUGAGGCUUUUUCCUUAUUCCUUAAGGGAUCGAGCAAGAGCAUGGUUAAAUUCAUUACCAUCUGAUUCCAUCACUACAUGGAAUGAAUUGGCUGAUAAAUUCCUAAUGAAAUAUUUCCCACCAACAAAGAAUGCAAAAUUAUGGAAUGAAAUUACCUCCUUCCAUCAAAUUGAAAAUGAGAGUUUGUACGAAGCUUGGGAAAGGUUCAAGGAAUUGCUCAGAAGGUGUCCUCAUCAUGGUAUUCCUUGUUGCAUUCAAUUGGAAACUUUCUACAAUGGGUUGAAUCUGUGUACAAGGUUAAUGGUGGAUGCUUCAGCAAAUGGAGCUCUAUUAUCAAAAUCCUACACUGAAGCUUAUGAAAUUUUGGAGAGAAUUGCCAAUAAUAACUACCAGUGGCCUUCAGCUAGGCAACCAGUAGCAAGAGGACCAGCAGGGGUACAUAGCAUUGAUGCAAUUACAGUCUUAUCAGCUCAAGUAACUUCAUUGACUAACAUGGUAAAAGCCAUGACAGCUGUUCCAGCAACAGUAAAGCAAGUUACUGAACUUUCUUAUGUCUACUGUGGUGAAGAUCACGAUUUUGAUAAUUGCCCUGGAAAUCCAGCCUCAGUAAAUUAUGUGGGUAACUUCAAUCGACAACCUCAGAACAACCCAUAUUCAAAUACUUACAACCCAGGCUGGAAACAACACCCAAAUUUCUCAUGGAGCAAUCAGAAUCGAAAUGCUCCAGCAUUGAAUGGACUAAGUAGAAACACACAACCACAACCACCUGGUUUUCAUCAACAAAGUCAAGGGCAAAAGCAUAUCAGUCAGGAUCCAAUCACUUCAUUGGAAGUAUUAAUUGAGGAGUACAUUGCAAAGAAUGAAGCAAUUGUGCAGAGUCAAGCUGUGUCCUUGAGAAAUCUUGAGAACCAAAUGGGAUAAUUAGCUACAGCAAUGAGCAGCAGAACUCAAGGAAGCUUACCUAGCAACACAGAAGAUCAUAGGAGAGAGAGCAAAGAACACUGUAAAGUGAUUAGUCUGAGAUCUGGAAAGUAUAUUGAUAUCCCAGUUGAGGUGACAAAAAAUGGGAUGGAAGGCAUUUCAGCUCAAAAACCAACUCAAAAGGGAAGCAUGUUACAACAGACUCCCCAUCAAGACACUAAUGCAAGGGACCCAGCUACAGCAACUGCAAAAGAAAAUCAACCAGAUCUUGCUGAAAAAGAAGUUACAACACCAAUAGCCACAACCUGCACCAACUUAAACAAACAGAGUUUGGUACCUCCUGAAUCUAACCAGCAGUUUAAACAUCCACCACCCUUCCCUCAAAGGUUCGAGAAGCAAAAACAAGACAAGCAGUUCAGCAAAUUCCUGGAAAUGUUGAAGCAACUGCACAUAAACAUACCUUUUGUGAAAGCUUUAGAUCAAAUGCCAAAUUAUGUAAAAUUUCUAAAAGAUAUCUUGGCACGAAAAAGAAGGCUGGGAGAGUUUGAAACUGUUACUCUAACACAGGAAAGCAGCCAUAUGCUUAAGAGUAAAAUUCCCACAAAAUUGAAAGAUCCAGGGAGUUUUACAAUACCCUGCUCUAUAGGGAAUAGGUAUGCUGGCAGAGCACUUUGUGAUUUGGGAGCUAGUAUCAACUUGAUGCCAUUAUCUGUAUUUAAGCAGCUUAGAGUAGGGGAAUGCAGACCAACAACUGUCACUCUGCAAUUAGCUAACAGAUCACAUGCAUAUCCUGAAGGAAAGAUAGAGGAUGUACUGGUGAAGGUUGACAAAUUCAUUUUUCCAGUGGAUUUCAUUGUGCUGGACUUUGAAGCUGACAAAGAGGUACCUAUUAUACUUGGCAGACCUUUUCUAGCAACUGGAAAGACUUUGAUAGAUGUGCAGAAAGGAGAGCUGACCAUGAGAGUGAAUGAUCAGCAAGUCACAUUCAAUGUACUAGAGGCUAUGAGAAACCCUGAUGAAAUAGAAGAUUGUAAUUUCCUAAGUGUAGUGGAUCUUGUUGUAGCAGACAGACUGGACAGAUGCUGCAGUAAUGUACUUAACAAAGUCACCACCUUUGAGGAGGUUGAAGAGGAAGAUGUUACAGCAAUUCAAACAGAUUGGAUGGACAAACAACAAUCUAAUGGGCACAACAGGAUUAUUGAACACCUGAAUCUUUCAGACAGGGAAGUAAAAAUAACUUUACCAUCUAUUGAAUCACCCCCUAGUUUUGAAUUAAAACUAUUACCUUUACAUUUAAAGUAUGCUUAUCUUGGUCAAAACAACACACUCCCUGUAAUCAUUUCUUCUACUUUGGAUGCAGGUCAAGAACAAAGCUUAGUAGAUUUGCUGGGAAAAUACAAAAGAGCAAUUGGAUGGACCAUGGCAGAUAUAAAGGGUAUCAACCCAUCAUUAUGUAUGCAUAAGAUCUUUUUAGAAGACUGUUCCAGCAAUUCGGUGGAGCACCAGAGAAGGCUGAAUCCUAUUAUGAAAGAAGUGGUGAAGAAGGAAAUCAUCAAAUGGUUAGAUGCUGGAAUCAUAUACCCAAUAUCAGACAGUUCAUGGGUAAACCCAGUUCAGUGUGUUCGAAAGAAAGGAGGGAUAACAGUAAUGGCUAAUGAGAAGAAUGAACUUAUUCCUAUGAGGACAGUGACUGGAUGGAGAGUGUGUAUGGAUUACAGGAAGCUCAACAAAGCAACAAGGAAAGACCAUUUCCCACUUCCAUUAAUAGAUCAGAUGCUGGACAGACUUGCUGGAAAACAAUACCACUGUUUCUUAGAUGGGUAUUCAGGCUACAACCAGAUUGCUAUAGCACUAGAGGAUCAAGAGAAGACUACAUUUACUUGUCCUUAUGGAACAUUUGCCUUCAGAAGAAUGCCAUUUGGGCUAUGAAAUGCUCCAGUAACUUUUCAGAGAUGCAUGAUGUCUAUAUUUUCUUAUAUAGUAGAGCAGACCUUGGAAAUUUUCAUGGAUGAUUUUUUAGUUUUUGGAGAGGCAUAUGGUAAUUGUUUAUGCAACUUGGAAGAAGUUCUUAAAAGAUGUGAGAUGACCAACUUAGGAGUCCUAGAAUCUUAAGGGCUCACAAUCACUUUGAGAGAUGGAUUGUUGAAGGUAGUAGCUGGGGCGCUGACGGUGAUGAAAGGCACAAGAAGAAAUAACUUGUACUAUUUUCAAGGAACUACAAUUAUUGGAUCAGCAUCAACAGUUUCUAGAAAAUAUGCAGAUUCAGAAGUAACCAAGUUGUGGCAUAUGCGUUUAGGACAUGCUGGUGAAAAGUUUUGCAGACUUUGGUAAAGCAAGGCUUAUUGAAAGAUACAAAUUCUUGCAAAUUAGAAUUUUGUGAACAUUGUGUUCUGGGCAGGCUUUGCCUAUAAAUAGAGGAGUAGAAUGCAUUUGUAAAGCAUCCCAAUUUGAGAGAAGUAGAGAGCAAUUACAAGUGAGUUCUUUGAAAGAAUUUGAGAGAGCUUCCACUUGAGUGUUCUAGUGAGGUUCCAUUUGGGUGUAUUGGGGUUGUGGGCUUUGUGAGUUUUUCCCACUUUUGUAAAUUUCCAUUGUUAGUAAAAUUAUCUUUUAGUCUUUGCCCGUGGAUGUAGUCAUUACGCCGAACCACGUAAAUCAUUGUGUUAUAUUUUCUUUGCAUUUAUUUAACACCAAAUUUAUAUUUCUCUAGAAGUUGCAGUAUUAGUAAUUGCUCAACCCACGUUUCCGCAACACUGUAAGCGAUUCUAAAGCCUGGAUUUGAUGAAGAAUGUAAUGAUCAAUAAUUUUGUUAAUUCAUAAUAUUAAAGGCAACAUUCUGCUAGUAUUGAAUAUUAAUAUUGUUCCUAGUAAUUGAACGUGCAUGAAAUUGUUUAUGUUAUGAUAAUGUUUGUUGAUUUUGCAGUGAGACUGCUGAAUGAUCCAUAAAAAGAAGGGAAAUAGUGUUUUGUCUCAAUGUUGACAUUCUACAUAUGGAAAUUUUAAGUUUGAUUAAUCUGAUAAUAUCCGUGCUUGGAUUCAAUAUAAUUAUUUUCGCAUUGUUCAAGUAGUUGUCGUCUUCCAUAGCUGGUGCAAUAUUAUGGCUUCUGCAGUAAAAGAAAUGCUUCAGAAGUAUUGAGCCCUUUUACAGCAUUCUUCAUAACAACGUUUGCUGCACUUUUCUUUGAAAACAUUAAUGGUGGGAAAUUCUUGCUUGGGAACAAUCUUGCUUGUAAAGUAGCUGGAAUUGGCACCAUUAGCAUUAGGAUGUUUGAUGGCAAUGAAAGGGAUCUAAAACAGGUCAGAUAUGUUCCAGAAUUAAAAAGAAAUCUCAUAUUCUUAGGGGUGAUGGAUCAGGUAGGCUGUAAUACAAAAGCAGAGAAUGGUAAUCUUCAAAUUCAAGAUAAGGACCUGAUUAUAAUGAAGGGCAUAAAGAGAAAUGGAUUAUAUGUACUUGUUGGCUCAACAACUAUGCCAGCAAUCACAACUAUUGUAAGCAGUGAUAAAACCAAACUUUGGCACAUGAGGCUAGCACACAUAAACGAGAGGGGGUUGAAAGAAUUAAGUAAGCAAGGGCUGCUAGGAACUGAUCAAAUCACCUCACUACAAUUUUGUGAAAAAUGUGUGUUUGGUAAAGCUACAAGACAUUAGUUCAACUUUGGUAGACAGGAAACAAAACAUACCUUAGACUAUGUUCACUCAGACAUUUGGGGUCCAUCCUAAGUUCCUUCUCAUGGUGGAGCUAGAUGCUUCAUCACAUUCAUAGAUAAUUACUCCAGAAGAGUGUGGAUCUAUGUGCUGAAGCAUAAAAGUGAAGCAUUUGUAAGGUUUAAGGAGUGGACUGCACUUAUGGAAACCCAAACAGAAAAGAGGCUUAAAAGGCUUAAGACUGAUAAUGACCUGGAAUUCUGCAGCAGUGACUUUGAAAAUUUCUGUAAGUCAAAGGGCAUUGCAAGACAUAGGACAGUGAGACACACUCCCCAGCAAAAUGGCUUGGCUGAAAAAAUGAACAAGACCUUAAUUGAAAAGGUCAGAUGCAUGUUGUUUAAUGCAAAUCUAUCAAAGCAUUUUUAGGCAGAGGUGGUUAACACAGCUACAUAUCUAAUAAAUAGGAGCCCAUCAUCAGCUUUAGAUUUCAAAACACCACAAGAAGUAUGGUUAAGGAAGCCACCAAAUCUUAGUAACCUCAGGGUGUUUGGCUGCCCAGCUUAUGCUCAUAUAAGUCAGGGCAAGCUAGAACCAAAGGCUGUGAAAUGAUACUUUAUUGGGUAUCUAGAAGGCAUAAAGGGGUACAAAAUCUGGUGCAUUGAUGGCAAACCAUCCAGAACCCUAAUCAAUAGAGAUGUAGUGUUUGAUGAAGAAGCUAUGUUAUAGCAAAAGGUUGGAACAGAAAUUGAAAUCUCUGAACCUUUACAUAGAUCUAAGUUGAAGGUGGAGUCUAGAGAUAAUUUGAAAGAAAGUGAAGAGAUGAUUGAGCCCCAUCAAGAAAGUAACAAAACAUCAGAACUUGUUAACUAUCAGCUUGCAAGAGAUAGAGAAAUGAGGGUAGUUAAACUGCCCAAAAGAUAUGGAAUUGCUGACCUGAUAUCUUAUGCACUGAUGGUUGCUGAUGAAGUGACUGGAGAAGAACUUGAAAGCUACAAGCAGGCUAUGAAUAACAGAGAUAAACUAAAAUGACUGAGUGCUAUGGAAGAAGAAAUAACAUCACUCAAGAAAAAUAACACUUGGGUUCUAGUUCAAAGGCCUGCUAGAAGAAGGUUGGUGGGGUGCAAAUGGAUCUUUAAACUCAAUGAGGGAGUUUCUGGAAGUGAAUCAGUGAGGUACAAGGCUAGGCUUGUGGCAAAAGGGUUCACACAAAAGGAAUGGAUAGACUUCAAUGAAGUCUUCUCACUUGUAGUUAAACACUCCUCUAUAAGGGUUCUAUUAGCCAUCACAAUUUUCUUUGAUUUAGAAUUGGACCAGAUGGAUGUGAAGACUGCAUUCUUACAUGAAAACUUAGAAGAAGACAUUCUGAUGGCACAGCCAGAGGGUUUUGUUGAAGAAGGAACUGAAGACAUGGUUUGCUUACUCAAGAAAAGCUUGUAUGGGUUGAAGCAGUCUCCUCGGCAAUGGUACUUAAAGUUUGAUGAAUUUAUGCUUAAUCACAACUUCAGCAGAAGUGAAUAUGACAGUUGUGUGUAUUUCAAAAAGCUGAACUCAGGAGAUCAAAUCAGUCUACUCCUCUAUGUUGAUGACAUGCUUAUAGCAUGUAAACAAAGAGCAGAAGUUGAGAAGCUCAAGACUGAACUAAUGGCAGUAUUUGAAAUGAAGGAUUUAGGUCAUGCUGUUAAGAUACUGGGAAUGCAAAUAAAGAGGGACAGACAUGCCAAGACUCUAUUUCUCACACAAUCUGGAUAUUUGAAAAGGGUUGUCAGUAGAUUUGGGAUGGUGAACUCAAAACUUGUCACUACCCCAGUAGCAGCACACUUCAAACUUUCUAAGCAACAGGAACCAGAAGAAGCAGCAGACAUUGAUCACAUGAGAAGAAUUCCCUACCCUAGUGCAGUUGGUAGCAUUAUGUAUGCUAUGGUCUGCACUAGACCAGAUGUUGCCUAUGGGAUUGGGCUUGUCAGUAGGUUCAUGGGAAAUCCAAGCAAGGAACAUUGGGAAGCUGUUAAAGGGCUGCUUAGAUAUGUUAAAGGCACUGAAGAGUAUGGAGUAGUGUUUGGACAAGUCAAUAAUGUCUCAAGCAAGGUUUUAUGAUAUGUUGACUCUGAUUUUGCAGGAGAUUUAGACAAGAGAAGAUCAGUCACUGGUCUUGUGUUUACUCUCUGUGGUGGAGCUGUGAGCUGGAAGUCAACAUUACAAUCAGUUGUUGCUCUUUCAACAAUAGAGGCAGAGUAUAUUGCUUUAACAGAGGCUGUGAAAGAAGCAAUAUGGUUAAAAUGGUUAGUUACAGAGCUGGGUUUGGAACAAGAAUCAGUCACUGUCAAUUGUGAUAGCUCAAGUGCUAUACAGUUGAGCAAAAUCCCCAAAUACCAUGAAAGAACUAAGCAUGUGGAUGUAAGGAUGCACUUUAUUAGGGAAGAAAUUCGAAGGGGUGUGAUUAAUGUCAUUAAAAUUCCUACUGAAGUGAAUCCAGCAGACAUGUUAACAAAACCUUUGCCAACAGUUAAGUUCAGGAACUCCUUGGACUUGAUUGGGGUUAUUAACUUGUAAGACAAGUUAACUUUUGAUGAAGCAGUGAUGAGUAAAGCUAUAACCGAGUAAACUAAGGUGGAGAUUUGUGGAAUCAAAUUAGUUAUAUUCGGUUAUGAUAGCUGAGGUGGAAAGCUGAGUCAGCAAGGGUGGGUCCCCAGAUGGUUUAAUUAGUUGUUAUAACCAACUGUACAAACUGCUAGCUAUAUAAGCUACAGAAAGAGAGUUGAUCAGUGUGUAACGAAAAAGAGAGUUUCAGUUGAGAGAGAUUAAAGUGUGUGGGUUGUUCUAGAGAGAAGAAUAUCUCUGUGUGAGUGAAAGUUCAGUUUCUUGCUCUUAGUCGAAUCCAUUGUAAUCUUGUCAUCUUCUAAUAAAGCUUUAGCUCUGCUGUUCCUGAUCGUGGAUGUAGGUACUUAUGGUACUGAACCACGUUAACUUUGUUUUGACUUCUUUUAAGUUUCUUUCUUGUUCUUGAAUGCUUGAUUGUAUCCUCUGGUUUCUGGGUUCUUGCUUGUUUGUAAAUUGGUUAUUGCUUUAGUUGGGUUACGAAUUUGGUCUGUUAUUCAAAAAAAUAUAAUUUGUAUUUUUUUCUUCAUUUGUUAUUUUUAUGUCAUUUUAAUUUAUAAAUCUAUAUCUUUUUGGAUCUAUGUAGAAUUGAAACAUAAUAGUGACACUCCAAUAUAGUUGUGGCACAUUAGGUACUGGAUCCAUUAUUUAUCCAUACAGAUGACCAAAAGAAUUAAAUAACAUAAUAAUUAACUGGCUAAAGAAAUGCAAAAUAUAAAUAUGAGAGAGUAUUUUAAUCAUAAUUUAAAAAUCGAGAGUGGAUCUCGUAAUCUUAGUAUUUUUUUAGAUUAGUCUCUAUUAAUUUCUUUUUAUGCAAUUAAUUUUUAUUUAAUAAUUGACUACUAGAUUUAUAGAUUCCUUGUGGUUUGACUUUUGACUCAACGGGUUAUAUUAUAACUAAACACUCUUAUACUUUGGAGUAAUCAACACUUUUAAAUCAUGUCAAGUUUUUUACUUCAUCACUAUAGAAUUUUCUAAAUUUGGCACAAUUUCAUUUUUUUUUAAAUUUUUUUUCUACUCUCCUUUAUUAUUUUUGCUCUCUAUUUCUCUUUUUAUCAUUCCUUUGCUUAAUUCUAGUGUUUUUCCCUUUUUUCAAAAAAUUUCAAUUAACUCCUUUCUUUCUCUUGAAAUUAGUAAAUUACCAUAAAACUUAUGAAAUUUUUUAUUGUGGCCUAAAAUUUCUUACAAAUCAGUCCCUAUAUGAAAUUGGAAUUUGAAUCUAUGGAUCAUGACUUACUCUUUAGACUUUUGAAUGUUGUGGGCUAAAUGAACUUGAACUUUUGGAGGUUGUGGACUAAAUGGACUUGGAUUUUUUACUUUAAAAAAUAUAAUUAAGGAUUAAAUUUAAAUUGAUUAUUUAAUUGGUUGAUAAUUUUUAAAAGUCAGUUUCACAUCUUGAGGUAAGUGUAUCCUUCUAUUUCUCCUUAUAAUUUCUUUUCUUUAAAUUUCAUUUUUAUGGCUUCGGGCCCAGCAUUCAAGGAAACUCACUCACUAGUCUUCGCAAGCUUUACGAGGCCCCCUGCUUUUAAAGCCUCUUAUUUAUCUUAUUUUUUAAAAUUGAUAUUGGUAAUUUAAUUGAGUACUUUAAUUCUUAUCAGAAUUUAUUUAUUUAUUAUCAUUUAAUAACAACUAGUCACAGCUUGUAAUUUGCUCAUAAAUCAACAUAAUAUAAAAUUCAAAUCUGUUAAAAAAUAUGAUUGCGGACUUGAAAAUCUAAGGCCAAUGAAAAAAGAAAAGAAAAAAAAAAGAAUCAAAUCCCUCAGCGGAUUGAGUAAUUUAUGAAUCUCAUUCACUAAUCAACUUUUACUAAUUAUUAUUAUCCGAACUCAAGUGAUCCUAUGCUAUAAAAAAAAAUGUUUUCACAAUCAGUUCCAGUUGCACCUCAAAGUAAUGAUUUGAAGAUAUUAUUAACAAAUCAAAUGACUUGAUUUGAGUAUGAGUAGGUACUAUUUAUUUUACCUAGCAAGCUGUUUUAAAAUAUGGCACUUUGACAUUAUAAAAAUACUUCUACAAUGCACUCAUCACUAGUCGAUCGAUGUCUCAAUUGUCUUUUUAUUUUUGUUUUCUUCUUCUCGUUGUUGGAAUUUGUUUAUUACACAUUAAACUUAUGGAUUAGGCAUCAAUAACUAUAAUUAAUGUUAUGCUUUUAAGGAGUUUUUGGACUUCGAAAAUUUUAAACUAUGAAUUCAAUCAUCAUGAUAAUGCAUGGGGAUGUUUGGAAACAUAAAUAUUGUUGUAUUUGUUUUGUAAUCCUUGCACUCAGUCUCAUGACAAUGAGCAUGCCUUUUUCGAAACAAAUUGAAUUUCUUUACAAAAAUUGACUUUCCCACUAGAGGAAUCUUCUUGGGUUUGGAAAAAAAAUAUGAUCUCCCAAUUUUCAUGAAUUUGGCUGCACUUUAUAAAGAUUUUAUAUUUCACUACGAUACUAAAAAAAAAAAAAUAUUAUUUAACCUAAAUAUGCUAGGGCUAGGGCUAGGGCUAGGGCUAGGGCGUAUUUUUCACAAUGGAACUCACAUAAUUCCAAAGAUGAAUAGUAAUAUCAGAUCAGAUCAUAUAUCUUGUGAAAUUUCUGAAAUGGUAAUGAUGGUCUCCGAUUGAUUAUCAAUGGAAUCAGACAGUUUUUGCAGGCAUGCAAACAGUGUGUGAUCGUACGUAGACAAUUAUGAUGCUGUCUUGGAAAUUAUUAACAAGAACGAGAAAAAAACAAACAAGAAUAUAUCAGCUGUGUAGAAAUAUUGCAGCCGGUCAAGGGAAUCAUUUCCAGGUUCAAGAUGUUGAAGACUUGGAAGUACUCUUUCAGGCCAACACGAAUUUCAAUAGGCUUUCAAGUUUCAAUCAUUAUCUUUUUGUUUUUGCUUUUGAUCUUUAUUUCUUGUUCAAAGAGUGGUAGGUGCAUAAACGUGCAUUGGUGGACUCGAAACACAUCAAUUCUAACCAUCAAAGAAAGUUGUUCUCUAACGUUUUAACGGUAGAGAGAUCAUAGGAAAAAAAAAAUUAAGUUGAUAGAUAAAAGAUUAAUAUCAGUAUUAAAGAUAAGUCUUAAUAAGUUCUUUUACGUCAAAUGUUAACAAUAUGAUUUAAAAUGUAGUAAAUUUUACAGAGUUUGAGAUAGUGGAUUUGAUGAGUGCGAAAUAAAAGUCUGAAAGCAACAAAUAGGCGAAGAGCCAAAAUUAAAACCUUUGUGAUAGGUGGAGAGCCAAAAUUAAAACCUUUGUUUUCAACAUUUUCAAUGUCGUGAUGAAAUCGUAUAAUAUAUAUAAUAAUUCUCCAAAAUCUACAUAAAUUCAAAACCGUAACCAUCAAAUACAAUACGAAGCUCGGAAGUUGAUUAUAAAUUGAUUUGAUGUUUUGGGCAAUAGCCGUAGCACUAAAGCCUUGUUGCUUUAUUCUAAAGAAAGUGUGAUAAGAGAAGUGGUCGGGGCUCAGUAAUGUUAAAUCUAUUAAGGCCGAAGGGGGAGGAAAUGGGCAGUUUUUCUCUUAAAUGGGCUCAGGAUACAUCUCAGAUUGAGGAUGCAAUUUCAGGUUAGAAAACUCAGAAUAAAAGCAAGCCUUAAACCAUAAUCUUGCUUCAUGUUAAUUUGUCAGAGGCUAUAAUUGUGAAAAUAAGAAUAAUAAGGUUUAGCGUGAUCGUUAACGAAACUAACGGGAUCUCUAUUACUAUUUAAAUAAACCUCAAGAGAGUUUUGAGUGGCUUUUUUCUUUUCAAAAUUUGGUCCAUUAUUACUAGCCAUUCAUUAUUUUGAAGGCCUUACAAUUAAAUAUUCAAAUUGUUCACUAAACUAAUUGUUUGCAAUAAGUACUAAUUCAUAAAAUUCGCAUUAAAUUUAGUGCAUAUUGUCACUAAAUUAGAAGUCAAAAUACACAGUCAAAAUUCAUCUGGUACGUAAGUUUGAAGUUUGAUGACGCCAAUAUGGUUCCAUGGCCGUACAUAUGGAGAAACAAAGCUUGAAGAGUCAGUGAAUCUGGAGUCCAUGUUCAAUGGGUAGACCAAAGAAUAAAUCAUGCUUUUCAUGACAGUUGAUUCUUUUAUAUGAUUACUCUUUAAAAUUGCAGUAAUACCAAUCUGGCAUGAAGAUUUUAUAAAGACAGAAAAAAAUACAAAGAAACAAGAGAGACGAAUAUAAUUACGACGAUAGUGAUACAAUUAUAAAGUUGGGAUACCGAUUGUGUCGAGCUAAAAUAAACUCGACCAAUGAUAAAGUUUAACAACAAAUCACCACGUAACUUUAUAAAAAAAAGCCACAUCAAUUGGGACAAAAACUUGGUAAAUUAUCUGAUCAUUAUUCUAAUAAAAUAAAAUAAAAACAACUCAUUUAUUUAAAGUAAGAUAAACAAAUAAUUAACUUGCUACUUCCCUGUAGAUAUGCUAGGAUGAGGUAUAUAUAUAAUCUAACAUAUUUUAUAUAAAAUUUAAUAAUUUUUAAUAAUUCACAUGCCUUCAUUAUAUCUUGUUAGUUUGGUGGAAUAUUAAUAGUCAUACUAAUAAAUUACUCCUUAUAUAUCAUUCACAUAUAAACAAAAAAUUUGUAUAAAAAUAAUUAAAAUAAAUUUUUAGAUAUUGUGAUACUUUUACCUUAUGAGGGUAAAAUAAUAAUAUUAAUUUAUAUUAAAGCAACCUUAUUGUUUAAAUAUAUAGUCUUAAAAAAAUGGGAAAUUAUCAGCCAUAUACCUUUAAAUGACACUCGUAUCAAACGUGUGUGAACAUUUUUCAAGUGUAUCACUCGUAUACCUUAAGUUGACAAAACACUUCUGCCGUCCACCAAUCCGUUAACUACCGUUUGCAAACGCUGACAUCAUAAGGGUAAUCUAGUCUUUUAAGAUGGACAAAACUUUGAUUAAAAAAAACGACAUGUCAUCCCAUUUACCUAGUAAAAAAUGUCAUAUCAUAUGAUAUAUAUUGAUAAAAAUGACAUGUCAUCCCAUUUAUCAUAUAAUUGUUAAAAAUUGCUAAAAAAAAACUAUUUUACAACUGAAUUUACUCUUCCAAAUUUAAUCUAAAUUUUUGAAGAUCUGCUCCUCCAAGCUCUAACUGGAAUUUUUAUGGUAUAAUAUGUAUAAUUGUAAAUAAUAUAUGUUAAUAAUUUUUUAUGGUAUAAUAUGAAUUGUUUUAUGGAUAAUUGUUAAUAAUAUGUACCAUUAAUAAUUUAUUUUUAAUAAAAAAAUUUAUUGUUAAUAACAAAAUAAAAAAAUUUGUGUAUUGAAAAUUUACAUUAAUUUUUGGGAUAAAUUUAUAUUUUUACCUCAUUUUGAGUUUCAAGGGCAAAAUAGUUAAUUUGCCACAAUUCUGUUAACUUUCUAACGGAACUUACGGAUUGGUGGACGAUAGAAGUGUUUUGUUAACUUAGGGUAUACGAGUGAUAUACUUGAAAAAUGUUCACAUACGUUUGAUACGAGUGUCAUUUAAGGGGAUAUGGCUGAUAAUUUCCCUAAAAAAAUAAAUGAAUGUCAAAUAAAUCACUACUAUAUCAUUAAAAUAUGAAACAAUUGUAUAAAAAAAUAUUAAAGUUAAAGUAAAAUUGAUAUAUUCUUAUACUUUAUGAUGACGGUAAAAUAGUCAUAUUAAUUUAUGUUAAAGUAACCUUAUUGGUCAAAUAUAAUAAAAAAAAAGUCUACAAAAUGAAUAUGGAUUUAAUUGACAAUUUUUUUAAAAAAUUUCUUCUUAAUUUGAAUUUUUUUAAAAAAUAAUGUAAACUUGUUGUAAUAAGUUUUUGAAAAUGGGGUAGGUUUAUAAAAUUUGUAGAGUGGACUAUCACCACCUGAACAUAAAUGCAUUCGUCAAAGGGGUAAAUUUUGGUUUAAUCCUCUCCUGAAUUAAUUAUUUCAAAUCACUCGUUCACUUUGAAAACUUCAAGUUGCCCCUAUUUUUGUUCAAAAGAUACAAAAAAAUAGGGUUCAAAUGAUGAUUUAUUUUCUUCUUAACAAAAUAAAAUGGGAAUAAAUUGAGGUUUUUAAAAGAAAGAGUUUAUUUAAAAAUAGUCAAUUUAUGAGGGGAUAAUUCAAAAUUAACGAUUUACAAAGAGUUUGGUCUUAAUUUAAUAAAUAUCCGAUUAACACUUUUUGUUUUUAUCAUUAUAUUUUUGUUUUAGUAUUUUCUUUGACUAACCAAUCAUGAAUAAAUUCUAGUGAGGUAGAGGAUUAAAAAAUCAAUUUCUUACUAUUAUAUGAAAGUGGGAAUUCUUGAAUAAUUUCUUUGUGAAAUGUUAAUUAAUUAAUUUAUUUUAUUUAAAAGGUAGAAGGUGAGCAAAAUUUAUAAAAGAAAAAAAUCAUAAAUGAACAAGAGAGAAGAAUUAUAAUUUACAAAUUAACAACUCUUUUAUUCAAAACAAGUACUUGUUGAUACUAGCAUCCAGAAUAUACAUCUCAAUCACAACCCACGGAUUGUUGACCACUGCCAAAUACUCAACUCACAACUUCAAAGUAAAAUGACAAUGCAAGCUUCCAUUAGAGCAGCUUUUGUAAUCAAAACAAUGGAAUCUCAUCAACCAUCAAUCGUUUCCUAGGGCAUGGUCAUCAGUGAAGAAAAUCAUUUAGCAUACAAAGCUUCAGUAGUGAGCUACAGGGGCUUAAACAAAAGUCAGUACAUGAAAGAAGACGUGCUAGAAGAAACCAAGCAUCAACCCCAUAGAGGUAUUCCAUGGCAUGGAUUGUAACUUAUAAGUCUGGUAAAUCGCUGAUCCGUUGAUGGUGUUAUGAGUACUCAAAUAAAUGAUUGCUUUUCUCAACGUUGGAAUGUUUUUUAAACAUCAAUGUAUUUUUUGCUCUAAGUAAGGCACACUUAUCUUUACUAAUAACUGUAAAAUUUGGUAGAGGAAAAAAUAGUUGUAAUUCCAUAACUAUUUUGUAAAUCUUUUGCCAGAAUUUUGUGUACUCUAGAGAAAAGUUGGAGCAAGUAAAGAGCUCAAGAGCUUUUUUUUUUUUCCUUUGCUUUCUGAGGAGAAGAGGAGACAGCGAAUUUGAUUUUAUAUUGAAUAUAGAGUCUAGUGCCAUAAAUAUGUGAUUUGAAGAAUCCAUUUCUCAGAUUUUCUCCAUUAAAUUUAAACUUAAGAGAAAGAUAUGGCGGUGAUGCUCCGUUAUAAGGUAUGAUAGAAUACCAUACAAACUGAUUCAAGUAAAAUAAAAAUGAGUAUUUAAUUUUACAAGGUAAGCUUAAGGAUAAGACUAAUCAGCCUCCCGGACAUAGCUCGAUGGUUGUGAAUACACAGUCACAAAGUUUGAGUAGUAAUUGAAAAAAUAUUGGUAUUUAGAGGGUGGGAUUUCUCAUCCCAUCCAAACCUAUAAGUAAAUAGUAUUUUAUUAUAUUAUUUGAUUAAUUUACAUUGUUCGUUAGGAAUUAUGUGAUUGGUACAUUUGGCCAAAGUUCAUCGCUGUAUCCCAUGGCAUAUAAAAAAUAAGAUGGUGUUGUUUGCAUGGAAUUACUGCUUAGUAAUAUGUUGCCAUUAAUGGUAAUUAAUUUUGAUAUCUAAUCUUCAGAUAUUUCAAAAUCUGAAUUUUAAAUGCUUAUCUUCAAUCUGUACCUGAUUUUUUUUAGUGAGAAUUCCAUUUAUGGCCUUGGUUGUAAAGAGAUAAAAACAAGCACUCUAUGUCCACUACUAUAAGGAAGCGUUUAAUUUUUAGAUUCAAGUGGAAAUCAUGAGAAGUGAGAAUUCUAGAAUUAGGAGUGUGGAGUGUGGAGUGGGAGUAGAAUUAGCUUGUUUACUUGCACUGGAAUGGAAGCAUGGAAUGAAGAUCAGAAUCUAAUUUAUGUGUUUACUUUGUCUUGGAUUGAGAGUAAACAGUUUCAAAUUAUAAUUUUAUCCUUAUUUAAAGAAUUAUAGUUUUUAAUUACAAAGUUAAUAAAAAAUAUAUUUAAUGAAUAAACAUUUAUUUUAUUAUAUUUAUAAAUUUAUAAUAAUUAUUAAUAUUCUUAAUUAUGAACAUCACAAUUUUUUAUUAAUUUUAAUUUUGAUUAUAUAAAUUAAAAAUUGUUGAUAAGGGCAAUAUAAAUGAAAUAUUUUUACUAUUAACAUAGUAUGAAAUUAAUAUUUUCUUAGAAUAAACUAUUUAUUAGUAUUAAUUAUUAAUAUUAAAUAAAUAUAAUACUAUUAUUUUUUAAAUAAAUAUAGUAAUAUUAUAUUUUCAAAUAAAGAUGGUAUAUAGUAAUAUUAUUAAUUCUCUAUUAAUAUAAUAAUAUUAUUUUUUAAGUAAAUUAAACUUAGAAUCAAACCCAGUUAUUAUUUAGUUAAAUAUAAUAAUAUUAUUUAAAUAUUUAUUAAAUAUAAUUAUAGUAAAUUUAAUAAAAAGAAGGGUAAAUAUAAAAUGAAACAUUAUUUUAUUUUAUUUAAUAUAAUUAUAUUAAAUUUAUUAUUUAUUAAUAUAAUAUUAUUUAGUACAAAAUUAAUAUUUUCUUAGAAUAAACUAUUUAUUAUUGUUAUUAAUUAUUAAUAUUAAAUAAAUAUACUACUAUUAUUUUUAAAUAAUAUAAUAAUAUUAUAUUAAAUAAAGAUAGCAUAUAGCAAUUUUUAUCAAUUCUCUAUUAAUAUAAUAAUAUUGUUUUUAAGUAAUUUUAACUUAUAAUCAAUACAAAUUAUUAUUUAGUUAAAUAUAAUAAUAUUAUUUAAAUAGAUAUAAUAAUAUUUAUUUUAUUUUAUUAAAUAUAAAAUAUUAAAUUAAAUUAAAAAAGGGUAGAAAAUGGGGAGGUGGGAGUGGGAUUCCCAAUCCUUUCCUAAUUUGUUGAAGUAAAGUGGGAGGAAUCCACACUCCUCACUCCUAUUCCAGAAAAUAAACAUAGCCUAAAGGAAUUGAAGUAUUUUAAACUAAUUUGUUUGCCUGGAAUAAUCAAUUGAUGGAAAAAAUAUAGUAAUGAAAUUGAUAAUUAUGAGUAAUGCUACGUACAUAGUUAGGAAUUAUGACUAGAACUUAAGUCAAUGCUUGUUACUUCAGUCUCUCAAGCAAUAGCCUUAUUCUAUCUAACAAGGCAAUGUACUAUUAGGCUAAACUCUUGCUUCUUAGUCUUAAGACAACCAUUGUACAUGUAUAUUUAAUUGCGAAUAAAUUAUCAUCAUAUAUGAUUGUAAGUUUGGAACUCUUUAUUAUAUUACUUUUGAAUAUAAUCCUAGUGUUUUUUAAUUAUAUAUGCAACUUUUAAACUUUUUAAUUUGUAAAUUCUCACUUAAAAUAUAUGAGUUGGUAACAUGGACAAAGCCAUCAACUUGCAGCUGGGGAUAAAUAAAUUAAAGUCGAUGCUAGUUAACUUCUAUAUAUCAAGCAACAUCAUCGACUUACAUAUUAUAUUUCAGUGACACUAAGGCUACAAUAAAAAAUGACCAAAAAUUCGAUACCAUGAAUAUUAUAUAUUUGAGUGACAAUAAAGUUAUAAUACCAAAAGAAUAAAAAAAUUAUUUUCUUGUUUAUUAUAUUUUGAAAAAAGGAUAUCGGCACUCCUAUAAUUUAUUGAAAUGGUUGUAGAGACCUCUAUAUUUUCAAAAAUGGUCACAGAUAAUUUUUGGGACACAAACUUUUUUUUCUUGACAAAUCUUAAGGGUUAUGUGAAUUUGUGGCUAUUUUUGAAGCAAAAAAUAAAAAAUAAAAAAGAGUUUAUGUGUCUUAAAACAGUUUGUAUGGCAAUUUCUAAACAUAAGAAAGAGUAUGUAUAUCUUGAAAAUGGGUUUGUAUAAUUAUUUAUUUGUAUAAUUACUUAUGAAAAUAAGAGGGUCUCCAUGACUAUUUCCUCAAACUAAGAGGAUAUUUUUGUCAUUUUUCCUUACAUUUUUAACAUUAGGAUGGUAAUGAAUAAUUAAAAAAAGGUACCCAAGUAAUAAAUGUGAGAAAGAAAUCUAAUUAAUUUUCUCACUUUGAAAAUUUUUAAUUUACACAACACAAUGAAAGUGCUGCUUGAACCAUAAGACUUUCAACCACAAAAGCUCGAUUUGAAGAUACUUUCAAAAUGUUGGCACUUUUUUAAUUGACUUAUUUUGAUAGCUUAAUUGGUAAAUUUCAAAUUAAUAUUGAAAGGUUAUCAUAUGAAACACUUGGACUUUUUAACUAAAAUUGAAAUAUAAUAUUUAAGAAACCCCUGGACUUUUCAAAAGCCAAUCAGAAUGGAAAAUGAUGGACAAAUCGAUCAUUUCUGGUAAUAAGAUCUUGUGCAUGACCUUAGAUGAUCCCAACAAUGUAAACUCUUUUUUCUUUUUAUUAUUAACCAUCAAUUGUUACUAUAUGUUUUGUUAUCAUAGAAUCAAAUAAAAUAAUGUUGACAUCCUUUCAAUCAAACGGAAGCUUAAUUAUGAAGCUACUUCCUUAUUGCUAUAUAUUUGUUAUCAUAUUUGUUUUCAUAGGCGUAUGCUUCGAUCCAUUGUAAUUAUAAAAUGUACCACUUUUCAAGGAGUAGUAGGUGGGAUUGAAAAACUCUAUUAAACUGAUGGGACGACAUCAUGUGUUUAUAAUAAUUAUUAAACAUAUGCAUUCUACUCUUCAAACUUACAAUACUUUAGUAGUUUAUUUUAUCAAACACUUAACUUUUGCAUUUGUCCAGUUGAUUUUCUCGUCAAUAUCAGCAAAAGUGAAUUAUUCAUAAGCAGCAAUCCGAAUCUAUCCCUAUAUAAAUAUUAUAAAUAAUUUUUUUUGAAAAUUAUUUUUAUUUCUAGAAAAACAUAUUUUGAUAUUAUGAAUCUAUCAUGUAGAUUUGAUUCAAUACUACGAUUUGUUCGCCAAUGACUGACUUUAGAUUUCUAUAAUAAAUAAUUUUUUUUAUCAAUUUAGUUAUAUAUAUAGUUAAAUUAUUAUAAGAUUUUAAGCUAAAUUUUUGGUGGUUAGUAUAAUCAAAGCCUAUAAUAGUAAAAAACAAAAGGCUAUUUACCAAAUCAUAGUCAGUCCACUCUCUUAUUUGUACAUUGAAUGAAUUUUGAGAGUUUAGAACUUUAGAUAUACCGUAUGCAUAAAAUUCUAUUGUGUGUGUCAAUACCACCUACUUGAUAAGAGAUCUAUAAAAUUAACUUAACUUACAUAUAUCACAGUAAGUUUUGAAGUCGAUGGCUUAAUUUCUCCUCUUCUGGAUGGAGCUCCAAUUUCUUUUCAUCCUAUCCUUUUGUCUCCUCUGUCUAUUCUUCUUCUUCAAAAUUGUAUUCAAAUCUCCAAACCCUAAUAAGAAAUCCUUCCCUGGGCCACUGAAAAUUCUUUUUAUUGGCAACAUGCACAACAUGACAUCACAAACAUUUUAUAGCAGCUAUGCUUGUCCAAUAUAACUACUUACGAGGAUCCUUUAAUAAAAUUUGAUGCCAAAAUAGGAUACAAUAAUUUUGCCUUGGUACCAGAAAAUAGAUAAAAGGAAAAAAAGAAAACCAUUACGUACACUUUUUUCAUCUUUUUUUCUCCUCUUCCAGUCUUCCCCAUGCAUCAUAUGAUUGCUGGUUUUUCGCUGAUCAAAGUGUGCGAACAUAACAUAAUUUUAUUUAAAGAGAAGUAUGACAAUAAUGAGAUACAGUUAUUGCACAAUAAUCUCAACUUUGUAAGCAUAUUACUAUUCUAACUAGAAUACAAUUCUUUUAUUCAAAGCAAGAUAAAUAAAAUUAACUUCCUACUUCCUUAUAAAUAUGCUAGGGUUAGCGGAAGCAUAAGCCAUGAUGCUAGUUUCUUGUUCAAAUUUUUCCAUGUCCUCCUUAAACAUUACCACCAAUGCUUCUAUUCCUUCGCCGUCACUUGUGCUUGAUAAAAUAGCAAUAUCAGGUAACAAUAUGGGCCCGAGACUAAACCAAACAGGCUUCCCCCAACCAAAAUCAACUUCAUAACAAGGCAAUCCAACCACACUAGUCAAAGGAAAUGACCUUGAAUCUUCCCAUGCUUCAUACAAAUCCUUAAUGAAAUCUAAAUACUCAUCAUUAUUCAUCACAUCUCUUCCCAUUCUCUUGGCUUUUACCACUUCUCUUACUAAAUUUGUUACCUCUAUGGCAUCAUCCUCGGCUAGUGACCAUUCUGCCCUUACAAGCCGAAAAAUGUUACCCAUGCAUCGUGGAAACAUUGGUGGAUUCAUCUUGUUACGCAAAUUCAUAGUAUAAUACAUUGAAUGAGAGUACAACAUGUUAUCAGUUGUCCUCUUUCUUUCACGCGCUACAGCGAUGGAGGCACCCCAAAUGAGUGCUGAAACAACCCCGAAACGCGUUGCUUGUAACACGUAAUCGUCAGAAUUGUUAUCAGCCAUUAAUUCUUUAUUCACCUUCUCCUUUAGAGUUGCUAUCUUCUUGCCUUCGAACAAUAAUCUUUUGAACACAAUCUUGCGUGCAGAUUGUGGGCUUGGGAUCUGAUACUGCUGUGGGAACUUUACUGGCGGAAACAGAGAGGUGCAAUCUAAAACGAUAUUGUUAUUGCAAAUAUUAUCAUUAUCAUUAAUCACCCCACGAGCAAUUUCACCCCAGGUUUUCAUGAAGUUAAAGAUUGCCGAACCGUCGGCCACUCCAUGAGAAAAACAAACACCAAUUGCCAUUUCACCGCUGUUGAACAGAUUUACUUGGACAGCCAAAAGUUCUCUUUCAGAAAUCUCUAAAUUCGAUAAUUGGGGACUAGGUGGGAUUAAUUGUUGCAGCAGCUCCAUAUCUGGUGGUUGAAGAAACUUUGAUAUAUCACAGCCAACAUUUGCUUCAAUAAAUGCAGCCCCAUGAUCAUUACAGUCGACCGAAAAACCAUCAAUGAAUCUUCCAGCAAAGGGGUAGUAGUGGGUUAAUGUUGUUGCGAGAGAUUGCUUCAAUAAAUCAGAUUUUUUUCUGAAAUCUUGGUGCUUGCAACUGGCUGAGUAGAAGAAAACUAGGGGAAUAUAAAGAUCAUAAUUCAUUUGAUCAAUCAAUGAAAGUUUAUAGGUUCUAAGAUGUUUUCGCGUUGGAAGUGAAGGUUUGACUCUUUCGGUGGAAAUGACCUGAACAUCAGAAGUGGCACUUUUGAUACUUCUUUUUGAGAAAAUCUGGACAUUAUUCGUGAUUAAUUUGGAAGCAGUUAUUCGGAAAAUGUUUUUGAGAGUCACUGCCAUCUUUUGCUGGCUUUGAGAAAUUAUUCACCAAAGUGAGUGUUGAGUGGCAUAUAGUGUAGUGCAGCCAAAUUCAUCAUAUUUAUUAUAAGCGUCUUGCAUAAUUGCUUCUGAAAUGAUCGGAUCUCCAAAAUAAUAAAGAAAAUCAAAGCGAAUCCCUUAGAAAAUAUACAAAGUCAACAAAUGGAGGUUAUUUCAAUAAUAGACAAUAUUAAAAAAAUUGUCGCUCUCCGGGUCAAUAGAUCAGUUUGAGAUAUAUCAAAUUCUAAUAAUUCUUGUUACUUCUUAUAUAAGAACAUAUAUUUAAUAUAUAGAAAGAAGGGGAACUAAUGAAUAAAAUAAAAUAAAGUCCAUUGGCAAAUUCCAUGAACCCGAAAGCUGUGCAUCUAUAUCUUAUUUAUUAAAAUUUACACAACACUUAAAUAUUUUAUGAAAAUAACACAAAUAUUUGAGAUUUGUACAUAAAUAUGCUAGUUACUAUUUUAUUUUAAUGUCACCACAAUAUUAAUUAGCAAGAAGUAACUUUUUGUAUCUCUGACGGAAUAAGUCGAAUUGGUUUGUCCCCUUAUAGUGAAAACAAGAGGUCACAUGUUCAUUUCCCUCUCCCACCAACCCUGGGAAAUAAAAUUAUUUAAUUGAUGUUUCAUGUAUAUAGGAUGGAAUAUGAAUUUAACUUUUGAUACUUUUGUUGAAAUUUGAAUUAUAUACAAGGACAUAAAUAUAUAUAUGAUGUGCUAGGUGAUUAGUGUGAUUGUGUAUAUGGGCGGGUGUGUGUUUGUUAUAUAUGCCACUGCCAAUUCCAACACAAUCUUGGACCGACAUUAGCAUGAAUUUAUUUUUGGAAUUACCCCGUACUCAGAGGGGUAUGGAUUCAAUAUUUGUUGAUGUGGAUCAAUUCUUGAAAAUGGCACACUUUAUUGCCUAUAAGAAGACUACAGAUGCCUUGACUGUUGCUUGUUUAUUCUUUAAAUAAGUCUAUAGAUUGCAUGGUUUACCGAGUUCUAUAGUAUUUGAUCGAGAUAUGCGAUUUCUUAGCCAUUUUUGGAAAACAUUAUGGAAUUUGACAAACACUCGCCUAAAUUUUGAAAGUACUUACCACCCACAAAUAGAUGGUUAAACUGAAGUUGUCAAUUGCUCUUUAGGAAACCAUCUACAUAGUCUAGUUGGUGAUAACUCGAAGAUAUGGGAUCAAAAGUUAUAUCAAGUCGAGUUUGCUUAUAAUCCUGUAGUUAAGCGUAGUACUGGUUUAAGUCUUUUUUUAGGUGAAUUAUGGAUAUAAUCCACGAGCUGCCAUUGACUUAACUCUAGUUCUAGAUUUAGUUUGCAAAAGCAGCAAGACAAAAGACUUUAUUAAGCAGCUUCAGAAGAUUCAUGAAGUUAUGCAAGAGUCUUUGAAGAAGACUACCGAAGGUUAUAAAAUUAAGGCAGACAAAAGGUUUCAAGCUUUAGAAUUUCAGGUGGGAGAUCUUGUUUGGCUGUCCUAACCAAAGAUAGAUUCUCAGUUGGUGACAACAACAAGCUUUCUGGCAGGAAAAUUGGACUUUUGGAGAUUAUAGAGAAGAUAAUUCUAAUGCCUACCAAUUAAAGCUUCCUAGUCACAUCCGCACUACAGAUGUAUUCAAUGUCAAGCAUCUUAUUCCUUGCAAAGGUGAUCAUGAUGAAGAUGUUGUUGCUGACAAUUCAAAUUUGAAGGUGAAUUCUCUCCAUCCUGGGGGAAUGGUGCGAAUUAGGAAUCCAUAUUAUAUUAGGAUAUGUUUCCUUAUUAACAAAGGUUUAAGACUUUUAUUUUCCUUUCUAGUUUAGGACUUUAUUUUCCUUUUCUUUAUGGUUUAGGAUAUCUACUACUAGUAUAAAUAUCCCUUCUUAUAGCCUUUGAAAGUAGAUUUUUGAGUUCAAUAAUAUUUCAGUUUUUGCAAAUCUCUAUGUGAGUUUUUUUAGUUUAAUUAAUUCCUAGUAUUCUCGGAAUUAACGAGUCUUAGCCCCCUAAAUUUGUGGUAUUAUUUUGAAUCAAUGUGAAUUUAGUUUGUUCUUUAUUCUAGUAUUCUCUAUAAUCAACAUAAUAUUUUGAAUAUGAAACUUCCGUUGCAUCAGGAAGUCUACUUAUUGGGGAAAAUAAUUUAUUUUAGAGGGAUUUUAUAUGUUGUACUCUUUUUCCCCACUAGGUUUUUAUCUAUAUAUCUCCAAAAUUAUUUGUUUCAAGACAUCAAUGAAUAAUGUACUCGUUUUCCUUUAUUAAUUUUUUUCCCAUAAGGGUAUUUUUUAGUAAAAGUUUUAAUAAGGCAUAUUCUUUUGUAAUGAACAUUCAAGGGAGAGUGUUUUGAAUUUAUUAAAAUAAAUGUGGAUGUUUAUAACAUACAUCUCUUAGUCUCCCUACUAUCUCCUACCAGCCACCUUUGGCUUCUCUAUAACUCUUACUAUCUCACAAAGAAUUAUGAUCUAUAAUGUUUCCAUUAAUUUCAUGGAGUGAUUAUGUAACAAUAAAAAAGAGUUCAUUUUUUUUUUGUUUUGUAUACAUUUGGAAUGAGUAAAAUCACUUUAUAGUAUAUUGCUCUCUCAUUUUACUUUUUAUCUUGUGUUGCUGGCUAAUAGUUCUUCUAAUAAUAUCUAAAUAUUAAUAGCGUAUAAUACUCUAAAUACAUACAAAAAAAUUAUAAAAAGAUCAUCACAACUCAACACUUUAGUUUAAAUUCAUUUAAGAAAUAGUUAAUCCUUAUAGAACAAGUAACAAAAAUUAUUAAAUACAUGCUAGCUUUGUUUUACCGAUCUUUAUAUAGAAAACUAUGACUAUGAAAGAUAUAUCCAAAUUCAAUAAUUCUUUUUACUUGUUCUUUUCAAAAGGCUUUUAUUUUAUAUAAUAACAUUGACAUUAAUUGACUAUUUUAUUAUUUCUUAAAUAAUCCAAGCAUGUAUGUGUAGCGGGCUUUUAUGUUCUUGGAAGUUUGUGAGCAAAAAUAUUAGUGAAUGUAACGUUGGAAGUUUGUGCUUACUCAAGAUUUUUUUUCUUUGACAAGUACUGAAGAAGAUUAUGUAAAUUGGAAAUGGAAUAUGUUGUUGAUAGUGUGCAGUAAAUAUGAUUUUAAAAAAAAAUUAUUUUAAUAAAAGUAAUAAAUAUAUUAUAGGUAUCAUAUAAGUGUGGGAUAAAAGGAUAAAUUUUAAUUUACAUCUACUUAAAAUGACAAUCUUUAAUUUACGUUUCAAAAGUUUGAAAACAUCAAUUUAUCUUUAUUUAUUAUUAAGAAGACAAAAAAUAAUUAUUUAUCAACGCACCCUAUUCGUCCUCAUCUUUUGAACGAAAAAAAGAGUAAAAUGAGGGUUUCACACUUUUAGGGGCUAAACUAAAGAUUGUCACUUUAUCAGGGGAAUGGAUUGAAGUUUAUUAGAGAAAAAAUCAAGUUAACUUGCAAAUUAAACCUCAAUAAUUAGUGUUUUCUAAACGCUUUAGUACCAUAACUUUUAAGUUACAACUAUUCAACCACCGUACCAAAUAGGGUCUAAGUUGAUAUUAAUAUUUAAAGUUUUUUUAAGGGUACAACAUCAAACAAGAAAUCUUAAGUUGAUAUGAAUUUUUAAAUUUCUUGUGUUGUGCAUUUAUAAUUGUAUAAAGUUAAUUUAUAUAAUGUUGACUUAUGAAUACUAGCUAUCUCAAAAUGUAUUAAGGUAUCAUUUACUACUUGAAUUAGAAUUGGAAUCCCAAGGAAUGAGAAUCAUGGGAUUGAGAGUGUAGAGUGAGAGUGACAAUAAGUUGUUUACUUACAUUGUAAUGGGUGUGGGAUAGGAAUCAAAAUCCCAUAUAUAUAUAUAUUUACUUUAUAUUAGAUUACGAGUGAAUUAUUUCAAAUUAUAGUUUUACCCUUAUUUAAAAAAUUGUAGUUUUUAAUUACAAAGUAAAAAAAAAAUAUGUAAAAUAAACUACUUAUUUUAUUAUUAAUUUAAAAAAAAAUAUGUAAAAUAAACUACUUAUUUUAUUAUUAAUUUUAACUAUAUAAAUUAAUAAUAAUUAUUAAUAUCCUCAAUUAUGUAAAUCAAAUUUUUUUUAUUAAUUUUAAUUUUUAUUAUGUAAACUAAAAAUUAAUGAUAAGAGCAAAAAAAUGAAAAGCUAUUAUUAAUAAAUAGUAAAAAAUAAUAUUUUCUUACAAUAAACUAUUUAUUAUCAUUAAUUAUUAAUAUUAAAUACAAAUAAUACUACUAAAAUUAAAUAAAUAUAAUAAUUUUAUAAUUUUCAAAUAAAGAUAGUAUAUAGUAAUAUUAUUAAUUCUCUAUGAAUAUAGUAAUAUUAUUUUUGAGUAAUUUUAACUUAGAAUUGAUGUAAAUUGUCAUUUUUAACUAAAAUAUAAUAAUAUUAUACUUAAAUAAGUUUAUUAUUGUUAUUUUUAAUAAAUCUAAUAUUAUUAAAUAAUACAAUAAUAUUAUUUCAAUGAAUGUGAUAUUUUAUUUUUAAAUAAAUGUAAAAUUAUUUUAAAUAUAAUUAUAUUAUAUUUAAUAAGGGAAGAGUAAAAAAAAAUAUGGGAGUGGAUUCUCAAUUUCUCACUGUUAAUGAGUAGGACACAAUGAGACUUUCAUUCCCCUCCUUAAAUGAAUAAGUAAACGUUAGAGUGAAAGAAUCAUAUUCCCCACUCCUAAUUCAACAAGUAAACAUAACACAAGUGUCAUGCAACUAUAUAAAAGUUAAUUUAUAUAAUGUAUGAAUUUCUUUAUUAUAUGAACUAACGUGCUAAUAUGCUCAAGGAAAUUAAUUCUGGGUUUACUUUGUUGCAAUAUGUGCUUAAGUAAAUUAUUGCUUCAUUUAAUAUUGGAAGUUUUCUUGAUAUUGAGGCACACUUAUUUUUACUAAUAGAUGUGAAAUUUAGUGGCCGCAAAUGAUAGUAAUUUUAAUACCAUAUCCAUUUUCAAAAUUUUUGCCAGACUUUUGUGCAUUCUAGAGAAGAAAAAGCAACUUUUUAGUUGUAGAAGAUUCUUCCAUAUCGAGAAAAAUUGGAGGAAAGAUUGAGCAAGUAAAGAGUUGAAAAGUGACGUUUAUUUAUUUGUUUUGGUUUUUGGUUUUUAGAUUGAAAUUAAUAACUAACCAAAGUUGGUUGGUGUGAGUGGCUCGGCACUCUCACUUCUUAAGAGAGAUCAGGGAUUCAAGUCCUGUUCUCGUAUGAAGUCACCACUUUGGCUAGUACUUUACCCCUUAUGGGCCGACCCGGUGUGAGCGGGGAUUAGUCUGGGUUGUGGUACGGGCUUAAAAGUUCCUCCCACAAUUAGAACCCACUCAGGAUCACCUUGUGAUUGAGACAAAAAAAAAUUAAUAACUAAUUGCAAUAUUAAUUUCGUUUGAUAUAACGUGAUUGGUUCAUUUCAUCAAAGUUAAUUCAUUGCUUUAUUUCAUGGCUCAUAAAGAAUAUAGAGUGGAGCUAUUGGCACCCCUCUUACAUCCUAUUAAAACAUGUUAUUAAGUGUACCCCAUUAAAUAAAAUUGGGAACGUGUGUAGCAACUAACGUGUGCAUGGAGCAACUAACGUGUACAUGUGCAGUAACUAUUGUAAUAUUCUCUUUGUAUAGCUUUUGUAUUCCAUUAGGAAUAGAAGGAGCAUAUUUAGGAGACUAUUUAGAGAUUUCGUAGCUAUCUUUGAUUUUGGUAUAGGUGUAUAUAUGAAUAGCCGUGUGAUAUACAACUAGGACACAAAAUUUCUUCCCCUCUCACAAACGCUUUCAUGGUAUCAGAGCCUUGAGCCGAACCUUCUAAUAAAUCAAAAUUUUUCCAUAGCCGGUGCUGAAGCUAAGCACCAUGGCUGGAAGGGAAAAGGAAAACCGAAAUAUGAUAGAUUCAUCUUCACUUUAUUAUCUUCAUCCCUUUGAUCAUACGGGCAUGAUUAUAUCCCCGAUGAAAUUAAACGGUGAGAAUUAUGAAGAGUGGUCACGCUCGAUGCGUAAUGCAUUUCGGGCAAGAAGAAAACAAUCGUUUUUGAAUGGCAAGAUUGAAAAACCUGCCGAAGAUGCUCUUGAAAUUGAAGGUUGGUGGAGUGUGAAUUCAAUGCUUGUAGGAUGGAUAUUUACAUCUUUUGAACCGCAUAUUCGUUCAACAAUCACCUACUAUGAUACUGUUAAGGAACUCUGGGAUGAAUUAAAAUUGAGAUUCUCAAUUGGGAAUGGACCACGGGUGCUGCAAUUCUGAUCCGAUCUGGCUAAAUGUAAACAAGAUGGGCAGAUAGUAGCAACCUAUUUUGGACGUCUCAAGAUUCUGUGGGAUGAACUCAGCAACUAUGUUCAACCUCUUGUCUGCUCUUGCGGCAAUUGGACCUGUAAUCUGUCGACGCAGUGGGAAAAACAAAGGGAAGAAGAAUGUGUUCACCAAUUCUUGAUGGGACUUGAUGAUACGAUUUAUGGGACGGUUCGUUCUAAUAUUAUUGCUUAAGAUCCUCUUCUCUCACAAAGUCGUGCUUAUGCCUUGGUAGUACAAGAGGAAAGACAUCAAACCAUUACAAGGACACGUGAUGUGCGUGUCGAAGCCGUGAGCAUUGCUAUCCAAGCACCCAAGGCACAACAAGGAGCUGCUGCGUCUUUUUCGAAUAAUGCAAAUGGAGAAAAAUCUGUGCGUAAACAUUGUGGCAAAACCGGUCAUGAGAUAUCAUCUUGCUUCAAGAUUAUUGGAUAUCUGGAGUGGUGGACUGCUAAUCAUGGAAAAGGUAACUCAGGCGGACGAGGGCAGAUAAAUAAUUCUACUGGGCGUAGUAAAUCGCAUGCUGCUGUGGCUAACGCUGCUCUUCUGCCUGCUAGUGGAGGAGGAAACCAGGCUAGUCCGACUCUGUCAGCACAAGAUCGAGCUGCCCUUGCAGCUACUCUCACGGAUGAUCAAUGGGCAACUAUGGUGAAUAUGCUUAAUUCACAAAAUAAAGAUGUUUCAAAAGAGAAGCUUUCUGGUAAGUGGAUUCUUGAUACAGGGGCUUCGAGACAUAUGACAGGAAGCAGAGAAUUAAUGACUGAUCUGCAAAAUAUUGGGCCUUCACCCAUAGGUCUUCCAAACGGCACAUGCUCUCAUGCUCAGGGCGAGGGCACUGUUGAGUUUGGAAACAAUUUGAGAUUGAAUCAUGUUCUAUAUGUACCUGAUCUUAAUUGCAAUUUAAUUUCUUUAGCUUGCUUGAUUAAUGAUUUGCAGUGCCUUGUCACUUUAACGGACAAACUGUGUGUGAUACAGGACCGCACUAUGAGGACUUUGAUUGAUGUGGGUGAGCAAGAAGACGGGGUCUAUAUUUUUCAGAGUCCGGCAUCAGCAAAGGCGUGUCGUGUCUCUGCAGAAGGAAAUUAUUAUCUGUGGCAUCGGCGGUUAGGUCAUGCUUCUAAUAAGAUUAUUUCUUUACUUCCUAGUGUUAGCAAAAUGGAAUGUCAGAAAUUACGUGAUGAACCAUGUGAUAUUUGUUUUAAAGCAAAACAAACUCGAAAUGUUUUUCCUAUUAGCAUGAAUAAAGCUAAUGAUAUGUUUGCUCUAGUGCAUUGUGAUGUGUGGGGUGCUUAUUGUAUUCCGUCUUCUUGUGGUGCCCAUUAUUUUCUUUCUAUUGUUGAUGAUUAUUCACAAGGAGUUUGGGUUUAUUUGAUGGCACAUAAAUCUGAGAUGGCUCAACUUUUCAAAAAAUUUUGUGCUAUGGCCAAGACUCAAUUCAAUAGGCAAGUUAAAAUGGUACGAAGUGAUCAUGAUACAUAAUUUAAAGUUUUGAAUUCUCUUUUUGCUGAAAAUGGCAUUGAAUUUCAAGCUUCUUGUGUGGAUACGCCUCAACAAAAUGGGCGUGUCGAACGGAAACACCGUCAUCUUCUCAAUGUUGGGCGUGCCUUAAGGUUUCAAGCCAACCUGCCUCUUAAUUUUUGGGGAGAAUGUAUUUUAAGUGCUGCUUAUAUAAUUAAUCACACUCCCACUCCUUUACUUGAUGGAAAAAAUCCUUAUGAAUUAUUGCAUGGUAAGCCUCCUCCGUAUGCUCAUUUUCGUAGUUUUGGGUGUUUGUGCUAUGCUCAUUAUAUUCCUCGUGACAAGAAUAAAUUCAAUCCUAGAAGUAGGCGGUGUGUAUUUGUCGGCUAUCCCCAUGGAAAUAAAGGUUGGAGAGUCUUUGAUUUGGAAACCAAUGAAUUUUUUGUGUCCCGUGAUGUGGUGUUUUUUUAGGAUACAUUUUCGUAUCAUGAUAUCUCAUUGGUUAGCUCUCCUGCUCAUGAUCCUUGCGUCACACAUGAUUCUUUACGAGUGCAACAUGUUGAGUCUCCUCUUUCUUCACUUGGUAGUAACAGAGACGUUUCCUCCAAUGACGCUCAGGAGGAACUGAAGUCUAAUGAUAGGGGGAGCCCAUCCUCCCCUCAUGCAGUGUCCGAUUUUUCCUCUGAUUUAGUUGCCCUCCAUGACAGGGGGAGCUCUUCUUAUGAUGUUUCACUCUAUUUGCCAUCAUUUGCUGAUAAGAAUAUUGGUAUCUCUGUUCGUCAGAGUACACGACCGAAAAUUCCCAACACUCAUAUGCAUGAUUUUAUGUGUCAUACAGCUCGAGUUAUAGACCCCGCCUUCUUAUCCCCUGCACCACCAUUGUCCUCAGGUACGCCUUAUCCCAUAGCUAAAUUUGUGACUUGUGCUAAUUUUUCUACAAAUCAUUCUCGUUUCCUAGAAGCUAUUACUACUCUUACUGAGCCCACUAGGUAUUCUGAGGCUGUAAAAGACCCCCGUUGGCGUGAAGCUAUGGCCAAGGAGAUUGACUCUCUCGAAAAAAAUGAGACUUGGACACUAGCCGAUCUUCCUCCGGGCAAAAAGGUUAUUGGUUGCAAAUGGGUCUACUGCAUCAAGUACCAUUCCGAUGGCAGUAUUGAGAGGUGCAAAGCUCGACUAGUUAUCCUUGGUAAUAACCAGAUUGAAGGGGUGGAUUAUAAUGAGACAUUUACACCAGUUGCUAAAAUAGUUUCUGUUUGAACUCUCUUAGCUGUUGCCGUUGCUCGAGAUUGGGAGUUACAUCAGAUGGAUGUAAAUAAUGCUUUUCUUCAUGGUGACCUUGCUGAGGAAGUGUACAUGCAACUUCCUCCAGGUUUUUCGACUACUUCUUCGGGUAAAGUAUGUCGUCUUCGUAAAUCUUUAUAUGGUCUUCGUCAAGCCCCUCGUAAUUGGUUUGCUAAGCUUGCUGGUGCCUUGAAAUCUUUUGGAUUUGACCAAUCAUAUGCCGAUUACUCUCUUUUUACAUUUGCACGUCAUGAUAUUUCUAUUUACGUGCUUGUUUAUGUUGACUUGAUUAUUGCGGGGAAUAAUACUACUGCUAUCUCUGCUUUUAAAGCCUAUUUAAGCCGUUGUUUUCACAUGAAGGAUUUGGGUGUUCUUAUGUAUUUUCUAGGCAUCGAGAUCUCUCAAGGACCUACUGGCAUGUUCUUAUCUCAACGCAAACACACGUUGGAUAUUUUGGCUGAAACCGGUCUUCUUGGUGCAAAACCAGCUCCAUUUCUUAUUGACCAAAAUCAUCGUCUUGCUCUUGAUGAUGGUCCUAUGUAUUCUGAUCAUGUAUGGUAUUGCAGGUUCAUUGGUCGCUUAAUUUAUUUGACUAUUACUCGUCCCGAGCUUUGUUAUUCAGUUCAUGUUCUGGUUCAAUUUAUGCAAUGUCCUCGUGAGAUUCAUUGGGAGGCCGCUACUCGUGUCUUGCGCUAUCUAAAAGGUCAUCCAGGUCAAGGUAUUUUCUUACGACGGAAUAGUGCCCUUCAGCUUAUUGCCUAUUGUGACUUGGAUUGGGGCGCUUGUUCUCUUACCCGUCGUUCUCUUACUGGUUAUUUCAUGUUUUUAGGUGGUCCUCCCAUUUCCUGGAAGACAAAGAAACAACAUACUGUCUUUCGUUCUUUGGCUGAAGUAGAGUAUCGGUCUAUGGCUUUCACUUGUUGUGAAUUAACUUGGUUGAAGGCUUUGUUAAAGUCUCUUGGUGUUUCGCAUUCUCUACCGAUGCGUCUUUACUGUGAUAGUCAGGCAACACUUCAUAUUGCUACCAAUUCUGUUUUUCAUGAGCGCACUAAGCACAUUGAAAUUGAUUCCCACUAUGUGCAUGACCAAAUCCAUGCUGGUAAUAUUGUUGCUCCUCAUGUUCGUACUUCAGAGCAACUUGCAGACAUUUUCACAAAGGCGCUUGGUCGACACCAGUUUGAGAAUAUCCUUCGCAAGUUGGGCAUUCGUGAUCUUCAUGCUCCAACUUGAGGGGGAGUAUUGGGAAUGUGUGCAGCAACUAACGUGUGCAUGAAGCAACUAACGUGUGCAUGUGCAGUAACUAACGGGUGCAUGGAGCAAUUAACGUGUGCAUGUGUUGUAACUAUUGUAAUAUUCUCUUUGUAUAGCUUUUGUAUUCCAUUAGGAAUAGAAGGAGCUUUUGUAUUCCAUUAGGAAUAGAAGGAGCAUAUUUAGGAGACUAUUUAGAGAUUUCGUAGCUAUCUUUGAUUUUGGUAUAGGUGUAUAUAUGAAUAGCCGUGUGAUAUACAACUAGGACACAAAAUUUCUUCCCCUCUCAACAACGUUUUCAAAUAAUAUUAGAAAAUUCAUCAUGACUAUUAACACACUCUUUAAUUCCAAAAAUAUCAUUAUUUCAGUUAUUCUAAAUAACUUUCUCUCUGCUAAAAUCCCAAAUACAGGUAUCUUGUUUCUUGUUCUCUUUCUCUCUUUUUAAAUAGUUUUCUUAUAAGUCAAUUAUUUCCUUAAGGAUUGGUUUUAAACUCUAAAUUAAAAUGUACAUUUGAUUCAAAUUAAAGAUGAGAAUAUUGAAAUAAAUUUUUAGAUAUUUUGGUACUUUUACCUUAUGACGGUAAAAUAAUCAUAUUAAUUUAUGUUAAAGCAAUGUUAUUGUUUAAAUAUAAUAAAAAAUAGUCUUAAAAAAUAAAUGAAUAUCAAAUAAAUCACUACUAUAUCAUUAAAAUAUGAAAAAAUUUGUAUAAAAAAUUAUUCAAGCUAAAGUAAAUUUUUAGAUAUUUUGAAACUUUAUGAUGAGGGUAAAAUAGUCAUAUUAAUUUAUGUUAAAGUAACCUUAUUGAUCAAAUAUAAUAAAAAAAUAGUGUAAAAAAUGAAUAUGGAUUUAAUUGAAUAAUUUUUUUCUAAAAAUUUCUCUUAAUUUGAAUUUUUUUAAAAAUAAUGUAAACUUGUUGUAAUAAGUUUUGAAAAUCGGGUGGAUUUAUAAAAUUUGUGGAGUGGAAUAUCACCACCUGAAUAUAAAUGUAUUCGUCAAAUGGGUAAAUUUUGGAUUAUCCCUCUCAUGAAUUAACUAUUUCAAACCACUCGUUUACUUUGAAAACUUCAAGUUGCCCCUAUUUUUGUCCAAAAGAUUAAGAAAAAGAGGGUUCAAUCGAUGAUUUUUUUGUCUUCUUAACAAAAUAAAAUGGGAAUAAAUUGAGGUUUUUAAAAGAAAGAGUUGAUUUAAAAAUAGUCAAUUUAUGAGGAGAUAAUUCAAAAUUAACGAUUUACAAAGAGUUUGGUCUUAAUUUAAUAAAUAACCGAUUAACUCUUUUUGUUUUUAUCAUUAUAUUUUUGUUUUAGUAUUUUCUUUGACUGACCAAUUAUGAAUAAAUUCUAGUGAGAUAGAGGAUUAAAAAAUCAAUUUCUUACUAUGUUGAUUAAAACAUCAAUUUCUUACUAUUAUAUGUAAGUGGGAAUUCUUGAAUAAUUUCUUUGUGAAAUGUUAAUUAAUUAAUUUAUUUUAUUUAAAAGGUAGAAGGUGAGCAAAAUUUAUAAAAGAAAAAAAUCAUAAAUGAACAAGAGAGAAGAAUUAUAAUUUACAAAUUAACAACUCUUUUAUUCAAAACAAGUACUUGUUGAUACUAGCAUCCAGAAUAUACAUCUCAAUCACAACCCACGGAUUGUUGACCACUGCCAAAUACUCAACUCACAACUUCAAAGUAAAAUGACAAUGCAAGCUUCCAUUAGAGCAGCUUUUGUAAUCAAAACAAUGGAAUCUCAUCAACCAUCAAUCGUUUCCUAGGGCAUGGUCAUCAGUGAAGAAAAUCAUUUAGCAUACAAAGCUUCAGUAGUGAGCUACAGGGGCUUAAACAAAAGUCAGUACAUGAAAGAAGACGUGCUAGAAGAAACCAAGCAUCAACCCCAUAGAGGUAUUCCAUGGCAUGGAUUGUAACUUAUAAGUCUGGUAAAUCGCUGAUCCGUUGAUGGUGUUAUGAGCACUCAAAUAAAUGAUUGCUUUUCUCAACGUUGGAAUGUUUUUUAAACAUCAAUGUAUUUUUUGCUCUAAGUAAGGCACACUUAUCUUUACUAAUAACUGUAAAAUUUGGUAGAGGAAAAAAUAGUUGUAAUUCCAUAACUAUUUUGUAAAUCUUUUGCCAGAAUUUUGUGUACUCUAGAGAAAAGUUGGAGCAAGUAAAGAGCUCAAGAGCCUUUUUUUUUUUUUUCCUUUGCUUUCUGAGGAGAAGAGGAGACAGCGAAUUUGAUUUUAUAUUGAAUAUAGAGUCUAGUGCCAUAAAUAUGUGAUUUGAAGAAUCCAUUUCUCAGAUUUUCUCCAUUAAAUUUAAACUUAAGAGAAAGAUAUGGCGGCGAUGCUCCGUCAUAAGGUAUGAUAGAACACCAUACAAACUGAUUCAAGUAAAAUAAAAAUGAGUAUUUAAUUUUACAAGGUAAGCUUAAGGAUAAGACUAACCAGCCUCCUGGACAUAGCUCGAUGGUUGUGAAUACACAGUCACAAAGUUUGAGUAAUAAUUGAAAAAAUAUUGGUAUUUAGAGGGUGGGAUUUCUCAUCCCAUCCAAACCUAUAAGUAAAUAGUAUUUUAUUAUAUUAUUUGAUUAAUUUACAUUGUUCAUUAGGAAUUAUAUGAUUGGUACAUUUGGCCAAAGUUCAUUGCUGUAUCCCAUGGCAUAUAAAAAAUAAGAUGGUGUUGUUUGCAUAGAAUUACUGCUUAGUAAUAUGUUGCCAUUAAUGGUAAUUAAUUUUGAUAUCUAAUCAUCAGAUAUUUCAAACUCUGAAUUUUAAAUGCUUAUCUUCAGUCUGGACCUGAUUUUUUAAGUGAGAAUUCCAUUUAUGGUGUUGGCUGUAAAGAGAUAACAACAAGCACCCUAUGUCCACUACUGUAAAGGAACUAAAGUAUUUUAAACUAAUUUGUUUGCCUGGAAUAAUCAAUUGAUGGAAAAAAUAUAGUAAUGAAAUUGAUAAUUAUGAGUAAUGCUACGUACAUAGUUAGGAAUUAUGACUAGAAUUUAAGUCAAUGCUUGUUACUUCAGUCUCUCAAGCAAUAGCCUUAUUCUAUCUACCAAGGCAAUGUACUAUUAGGCUAAACUCUUGCUUCUUAGUCUUAAGACAACCAUUUUACAUGUAUAUUUAAGUGCGAAUAAAUUAUCAUAAUAUAUGAUUGUAAGUUUGGAACUCUUUAUUAUAUUACUUUUGAAUAUAACCCUAGUGUUUUUUAAUUAUAUAUGCAACUUUUAAACUUUUUAAUUUGUAAAUUCUCACUUAAAAUAUAUGAGUUGGUAACAUGGACAAAGCCAUCAACUUGCAGCUGGGGAUAAAUAAAUUAAAGUCGAUGCUAGUUAACUUCUAUAUAUCAAGCAACAUCAUCGACUUACAUAUUAUAUUUCAGUGACACUAAGGCUACAAUAAAAAAUGACCAAAAAUUCGAUACCAUGAAUAUUAUAUAUUUGAGUGACAAUAAAGUUAUAAUACCAAAAGAAUAAAAAUGUUUAUUUUCUUGUUUAUUAUAUUUUGAAAAAAGGAUAUCGGCACUCCUAUAAUUUAUUGAAAUGGUCGUAGAGACCUCUAUAUUUUCAAAAAUGGUCACAUAAGUAACUUUUGGGACAAAACUUUUUUUUCUUGACAAAUCUUAAGGGUCUAUGUGAAUUUGUGGCUAUUUUUGAACCAAAAAAAAAAAAGAGUUUAUGUGUCUUAAAACGGUUUGUACUUUGUAUGGCAAUUUCUAAACAUAAGAAAGAGUAUGUAUAUCUUGAAAAUGGGUUUGUAUAAUUAUUUAUUUGUAUAUUAUUUAUGAAAAUAAGAGAGUCUCCAGGACUAUUUCCUCAAAUUAAGAGGAUGUUUCUGUCCUUUUCCCUUACAUUUUUAACAUAGGAUGGUAAUGAAUAAUUAAAAAAGGGACCCAAGUAAUAAAUAUGAGAAACAUAUCUAAUUAUCUUUCUCACUUUGAAUUUUUUUAAUAUACACAACACAAUGAAAGUGCUGCUUGAACCAUAAGACUUUCAACCAGAAAAUCUCGAUUUGAAGAUACCUUCAAAAUGUUGGCACUUUUUUAAUUGACUUAUUUUGAUAGCUUAAUUGGUAAAUUUCAAAUUAAAAUUGAAAGGUUAUCAUAUGAAACACUUGGACUUUUUAAACUAAAAUUGAAAGAUAAUAUUAUGAAACCCCUGGACUUUUCAAAAGCCAAUCAGAAUGGAAAAUGAUGGACAAAUCGAUCAUUUCUGGUAACAAGAUCUUGUGCAUGACCUUAGAUGAUCCCAACAAUGUAAACUCGUUUUUCUUUUUAUUAUUAACCAUCAAUUGUUACUAUAUGUUUUUUUUUAUCAUAGAAUCAGAUAAAAUAACGUUGACAUCCUUUCAAUCAAACGGAAGCUUAAUUAUGAAGCUACUUUCUUAUUGCUGUAUAUGUGUUAUCAUAUUUGUUUUCAUAGGCGUAGGGCUAGAUCUAUUGUAAUUCUAAAAUGUACCACUUUUCAAGGAGUAGGUGGGAUUGAAAAACUGUAUUAAACUGCUGGGACAACAUCAUGUGUUUAUAAUAAUUAUUAAACAUAUGCAUUCUACUCUUCAAACUUACAACACUUCCGUAGCUUAUUUUAUCAAACACUUAACUUUUGCAUUUGUCCCGUUGAUUUUCUCGUCAAUACCAGCAAAAGUGAAUUAUUUCAUAAGCAACCAUCCGAAUCUAUCCCUAUAUAAGUAUUAUAAAUAAUUUUUUCUGAAAAUUAUUUUAUUUCUAGAAAAAUAUAUUUUGAUAUUAUUAAUCUAUCAUGCAAAUUUGAUUCAACACUACGAUUUGUUCGCCAAUGACUGACUUUAGAUUUCUAUAAGAAAUAAUAUAUAUAUAUAUAUAUAUAUAUAUAGACACACACACACACAAUAUAACUACUUACGAGGAUCCUUUAAUAAAAUUUGAUGCCAAAAUAUGAUACAAUAAUUCCCCAUACAUCAUAUGAUUGCUGGUUUUUCGCUGAUCGAAGUAUGCAUACAUAACAUGAUUUUAUUUAAAGAGAAGUAUGAUAAUAAUGAGAUACAGUUAUUGUACAAUAAUCUCAACUUUGUAAGCAUAUUACUAUUCUAACUAGAAUAUAAUUCAUUCUUUUAUGCCAAGCAAGAUAAAUAAAAUUAACUCCUUACUUCAUUAUAAAUAUGCUAGGGUUAGGGGAAGCAUAAGCCGUGAUGCUAGUUUCUUGUUCAAAAUUUUCCAUGUCCUCCUUAAACAUUACCACCAAUGCUUCUAUUCCUUCACUGUCACUUGCGCUUGAUAAAAUAGCAAGAUCAGGUAACAAUAUGGGCCCGAGACUAAACCAAACAGGCUUCCCCCAACCAAAAUCAACUUCAUCACAAGGCAAUCCAACCAUACUAGUCAAAAGAAAUGACCUUGAAUCUUCCCCUACUU
rnacentral:lncRNA from 1 species